UACGGGGGACUAAUGUUCGUUGGCUUUCAAUGUUCCCUUUAAUAGAGGGAAUACGAGCGUGCUAAGGCUAGGGAAACCAAACUCGUCCAUAUCCUAUAUCCAAGGGGUUUUCCUAGUCUAAUCAAGCAAAUGUACUAACCUAGAUCUAAUGCUUAGAUGAAAUGCAAAUCUAAUGUCAUAUUUCAUACAAAAGCGGUAAGUAAGAUAUAUAUAUAAGGGAAAAUACGGGGGAAGGGAUAUACGUAUAAGGAAUGAUGUCAUGCAAAAAAUGAUAAAAGACCCUAAAAGUGAAAAAUAUGCAUGAGAAUGUAAUGUAGCCAUACAAACAUGAUCUAGCGUAGGAGGUCCCUAAGGGUCUAGCAUUGGACCAGCCCAUGUCUACAAUGUCCCACUAGCAUUGGACUAGUGAGAAAAGUCGGAACAAAGGGCCACAACUAGCGUUGGACAAGUGUGGAUUCGAGAAAUGGACCACAACUAGCAUUGGACUAGUGUGGUGACGUCACACAUCGGUUACAAUCAAAUAAAUCAUGUAAGACCUAAAAAAAAAGAAUGUAGGCACAUAAAUCGCAUAUAGCACAUAACACAUAAGCAUGAUAUCUAGAUGCAAGACCCUAGGAAAGCGGUAACACAUAGCACAUAGACAUGCAAAACACACAUAAGGCAAAUAAAGCUCUAACUAUUACAUUCGGGGGACCCUACUACAAUCUAAGAAGGGGAAAGGACUUAUAAAAGUAAAUCCUAACUAUUACAUUGACUAGCUAAGACAUGUCUUCAAGAGAGGGGCCAAAACCUAGCUAUUACAAAUUGGGGUUCAAAUGCUCUCAAAUGACUUGCCAAUUAAAGAAAAUGAAAUAAAAAGAAAAGCAAAACAGGCAAUUAAACAUAAAAAAAUGAAUUAAAGCAUGCAUCUUCACAUAUGGCACGUAUGAGCACAUAGGAGAAAUGAAAAUCAAGGAGAUAGAGGUUACCUCCCUUGCAAUGGUAAUGAAAUGAAGGAAAUAUUAGCUUCAAAACAAUAAAAGGGUCAAGGCACCAAUUAAAUAGUAAAGUAUAAACAAAAUCACCAAAUCCCUCCCAAUUGCAACUUAAAUGAAAUCACAUAAUGCAUAAUUUCCAAGAAAGUAAAUUGCCGAUCAAAUUUCUAAAAUAGAAAAUAAAACUACCAAGGACCCAAUUGCAAACAUAACCAGUCACUCAAGCCCAAUUAAAACAUUUUGGGAACUCUAAAGGUUCAAAAGUAAAGAAAGGGUCAAGUAAUGGUUCAAAUUGCAAUUACUCUAGGACCUAACUGCAAGAAAUCAGCACAUAAUUGGGCCACAGUGCAACCAAGGGAGACUUGGGGGGCCAAAGUGCAAUUUUGAAAGUUUUUUCAUGCAAACUCAUGCAAAGUUACGAAGCUUAUGGUUUCUGCAACACUUGCUGCAUUUUUAUUUUCAGCAUUUCAAACCCAAAACCCACAACUUCCAUCCAAACUCUUUCAGCCAGACAACAAAACAACAAGACUCAUGACUUCAAUAUCCAAAACGAGCCAAAACAUAGAAAGGAAAUUACGCAAACGCUGGAGAAAUUUAUGCAAAAACGGUUUAGCAAUCCUGAUUUGUUCCCUUUCAGCAAGCAUUCAAUCAUAGCUCAAGUAUUUUUAGACCCAAACACCCAAACCCAACACCAAAUCAUUCCAUUCCUUGCCCUCAACACCAGAUUAAACAUGCAACUUAAGUGUAAAGACUUGAUGAGCAACCACGGAACAGCAAACAGAACAGAAAAUGCAACUUCUUUUGUUUUGCUGCGAAAUUUUGCAGCUACAAGCUCGUGUAGAUUAAAAUGCCGAAACAUUGCAUUAGACUCACCAUUUAUCCACCAAACGCACACACAUUUUCUAAACAUCAAUUUUAGCAGUGAGGAAACAAAAAAAAUACAGCAAAGAAAGCAUCAACAUUCACUUGAGAUGUUGAAUCAGGACAUUCGAGGAAACAUUUCGACUUUCGGACCAUGAAGCAAACAAAGUAUCAGAUAUUUGUGCAGGGAAUUUCGAGACAACAUCUUGCAAUCAUGAAGGCUGAUGUGUAAAUAUCAGCCAAGUAUGAAAGAAGUCACAAACUUCAAGCAAGCCAAAAUUCGAACAAUCAAAAGAACAAAUCUGCCCAGGCCACUGCAUCAACCGAGAGCUUCAAACUUUACUGCAGCAGAUUUUUAUGCACCAAUCCAAACACAAUUUGAACUCAAGCAACAGAAUCACCAAAGGAAAAGACCCACGGGUUACAUCCAUUACAACUUCUAAUGUUUAUACAAGAAUCUAAAAGAUCAUGCAGUCCGUUCAAAACCAUAUUGCAUUUCUGAGUUCAUCAUCAGCAGGCAUCGCAUGGUUUAAACAAGAGACUGACCAUACCACAAACCCAAUCAAACUUUCGAAUAAAGUGCCAAAACAAAUCUUUUUAUAUUUUUCUUGUCUAAAACCCAAACUUGAACAUAACCCCAGCUCUAGAUUUACACACAACAAAAAAUUAGAAUAAAGAAAGUGUUGACAGCAAGCAUUUCCCGCAACUAAAGAAACUUUUGCAACCUCUGAAACUUUGAGUUUUCAGCAACCUUACACAACAGGCACAUAUCAAGCCAUAAUCCGACACAAAAGACAGCAAAAAUGAAGGUAAUCAACCCCAAAAAUUCCUGGGUUUCCGUCUCUUAAAACCUAGUCCAAAGAUUCUAAGCAUAGAACGAUCAAAGCUGCAAACUUUUCUGCAAUUUUGUUCGGCCAAAAACACUAUCAUGCAGUAUGAUUCAAAUGAAACCUACUGAUUCAUCACAUAAACCCCAAAUAUCAUAACCUUAUCAACGGAGAACCAUCAACUAAUCAUGGAAAGUAGAACCAGUAGACAGUAAAAGAAAGCAAAUAACAACUAAAGAAAACAGCUUUUUACCAUAAAAGAUAAGGAUCUUACCUUAAACAAGAAAUGAGGCGUGGGAUGACUAAAGGAAAGGCUCAGAUGGUUCUGCCGGAUCUUCAAAGGAACGCCAAUGGAAAAUGAUGACGAUGACUCCGUCGCUCAACUCACUUCUUUGCUAUUUUGCUGGUUCCUCUCGGUUUCCCUUUGCUUUCCUCAGUUCUUUUUCUAUUUUUCUUUGCCCAGAAAACUCCCUUUUUCUUGCCGAAACCCUUGGCUUCUUCCCUCUAGCUCUCCCCUGCUUUCUAGAUUCUCUUCCAGCCGUCCCUCUCCUCUCUUGCUCUCUUGUUUUCCUCUAGUCUCCUCUCUGGUUUUCUUUUCAGCCAUCCCCAGAAUCUCUUUAGCCGUCCACUGCCCUAGCUCUCUCUCGCUCUCUAUUAUUCCCUAGCCGUCCAUACUCUCCUCUCCUAUCCCCUUUGUUUUUCUUCCCCAGCUUUCUCUCUAACCCUCCGCCGCUACUCUCUCCCCCCUUUUCUGUUCUCCGUUUUUCUUUCUUGCCUUCUGAUCCGACCUUCCCUUGCUAUCCUACUCUCCUCCAAAAACCUAGUCACUCCUCUUCACUCUCUUUUGUUUCUUUUUUUUUCUCUCCCCAAAACCCCCUGCUCUUAGCCGUCACCUAUGAUUUCUGUUUUUUCAAUCCCCUCCUUUUUAUAUGGGACCUAUAUCCCCUAAACCCUUACCUCAAAGGUGAGGAUGAAGGGUUUGUCUCUGCCUUAACCCCAGCCAUCCGAUCCCUCAGCCACAUUUUCCCCCUGAAAAUGGUAUUUAUGCCGCUGCAUGUGCGGCUCACUUUUUUUUUUAUAACUUAAGUAAACAGCAAUAUAAAAUGAUAAUUUAAAUUUAAAUAAAAAGCACCAAACUAGUAACGAAAGAUAAAACCAAACUAAGAUUUUUCCCGUGCUUGAUUAAUGAUUUUUUUUUCUUUUUUUUCGAUUAAUAAACAAUAAAAGAAAUAAAACAUAUUUUUCAUGCCUAAUUUUUCUUUUGACAAAUUUUGUGCUAAAAGUCUUACAAUAAAAAUAAACAGCUAAAAGGGCAAAAAACGAAUACAAAAAUGAAAAACUAAAAUAAAAUAAUAGAUAAUAAUGAUCUAAAAUGCUAUACAAAUGCAAACAGUCUAAAACAAAAAUCAUGAAAUUAACAAAUAAAAAUAGAUAGGAAUUAUCACUAAAACAUAAAUAAAAAGCAUACAAAUUAUUUAAAAAUUUGGUGUCUACACUAUACGCCAAAUUUAGUAAAUAUGAAUUUUGGCUGGAGAAAAUUUCUUUUUAGAGCAUGUGAUUUCAAAAGAGGGUAUUACGGUAGAUCCGGCGAAAGUAGAGGCCGUAACUAAAUGGAAGAGACCUGAAACUCCCACUGAAGUGCAUAGCUUUUUAGGAUUGGCUGGGUACUAUAGGCGUUUUAUUCAGGACUUUUCCAAACUUGCCAGUCCUUUGACCGAUUUAACCAAAAAGAAUGGUCAUUUUCUGUGGGACACUAGGUGCGAAGGUAGCUUUCAAGAAUUGAAGAAAAGAUUAACCAUGGCCCCUAUUCUCGUUUUACCUAACAGAAAGGAUAGUUUCACUGUUUAUACUGAUGCAUCAAGGGAAGGAUUGGGGUGCGUGUUGAUGCAGAAUAAGAAUGUGAUAUCGUUUGCCUCUAGGAAAUUGAAACCUCACGAACAAAAUUUCCCUACCCAUGACUUGGAGUUAGCAGCCGUAGUCUUUGCCCUGAAAAAGUGGAAGCACUACUUGUACGAGGUAACCUUUGAGGUUUAUUCUGACCAUAAAAGGCUUAAGUAUCUGUUUUUCCAAAAAGAAUUGAACAUGAGGCAGCGACGAUGGAUGAAAUUUUUGGAGGACUACGACUGUACGAUUAACUACCAUCCAGAAAAAGCAAAUGUAGUAACUGAUGCUUUAAGUCAGAAGGCUCAAAUAGCUGGGCUAAUGGUCAAAGAGUGGGAGAUAUUGGGAGUGGUUAGUGAGUGGAACCCUAAUUUAGAACGUCAAAAGGUGACCUUUGGGAAUAUCCGGGUAACAUCUGCUAUUCUUGGUCGAAUUAAAGAAGGCCAAGAGGAGGAUCCGAUAGUACAAAAGUGGAAGGAAAAGUAGAGAAGGGAGAAUUACCUAAUUUCAAUUUGAAUCCUGAAGGGAUUUUAAGGUAUAGGAACCGAAUAGUGGUGCCCAAUGAUGAAACUUUGAAAAGGGAGAUUUUGGAGGAAACCCAUUGAUCGAAAUAUACAAUUCACCCUGGUAGUAACAAGAUGUACCAAGAUCUGCGAAAUUGUAUUGGUGGGAUAAAAUGAAGAGAGAGAUUGUUCAAUAUAUAUAAACCUGUCUGAUUUGCCAGCAAGUCAAAGCUGAACACCAAAAACCCUCUGGAUUGUUACAACCUCUUGAGAUACCCGAAUGGAAGUGGAAAAAUAUCACGAUGGACUUUGUUUCUAGAUUGCCAAUGACACAAAAGGGAUAUGAUGCUGUUUGGGUGAUCAUUGAUCGGUUAACCAAAUCGACCCAUUUCUUGCCUGUGAAUAUGAAGUAUUUCCUAGAAAAGUUGGCUCAACUGUAUAUGAAUGAAAUUGUGAGAUUACACGAAAUUUCAGUGAGUAUAGUUUCCGACCGAGAUCCUCAUUUCGUGUCAAGGUUUUGGCAAAAGUUUCAAGAGACCUUAGGAACUAAACUCAACUUUAGUACUACUUAUCAGCCCCAAACGGAUGGACAGUCUAAACGAACCAUUCAAACCCUUGAGGAUAUGCUAAGGACUUGCAUCUUAGAUUUUAGGGGUAGUUGGGGCCAACACAUGACCUUGGUGGAGUUUGCCUACAAUAACAGUUACCACUCGUCAAUCCAAAUAGUACCAUAUGAAGCGCUUUACGGAAGGAAGUGUCGUUCACCCAUAUAUUGGGAUGAAAUAGGGGAAAAGAAGGUCUUGGACCCAACAGUCAUUCCGUGGAUGGAGGAUGCUUGAGAAAAAGUUAAGUUGAUACGUCAGAGACUCCAAACAGCUUAAAGUCGCCAAAAGAGCUACGCGGAUAAUCGAAGGAAAGAUUUGGAGUUUGAAGUUGGAGACCGUAUUUUCCUUAAGAUCACACCCUUACGAAGUGUCACAACGGGUAGAGAAAAGAAACUUCAACCACGAUUCGUAGGACCCUUCAAGAUUCUCCAAAAGGUUGGAAAAAUAGCGUAUCGACUCAAGUUGCUGCCAAGUUUAUCCUGAAUUCAUGACGUCUUCUAUAUCGCGAUGCUUAAAAAGAACUAUCCUGAUCCAACCCACAUUGUACAACCAGAGGAGAUUGAGAUAGAUGAAGUACUCACCUAUGAAGAGAGACCUGUGCGAUUACUCGAUCGAAGGAUUAAGGAACCGAGGAAUAAACAAAUCCCAUUGGUGAAGGUUUUGUGGAGAAAUCAUGGAAUAGAAGAGGCCACUUGGGAGGUGGAGGAGGAGAUGCAAAAGAGAUAUUCUGAGAUGUUUAGUAACCCAAGUGAGCAAUUUCGAGGACGAAAUUCUUUAAGGGGGAGAGAGUGUGAGAAUCGGAAAAAAAAAAGGAAAAAAAAUUCUUUAUUUUAGGCAUUAUUUUAUUCCUUUGCACACGUUCUCUCUAUUUCCUGUAUCAUAUUACUUUUAUAUAUAUUUUUAUAAGUAAAUAUAGCUUUAAAAUCAUUUUUCUAGUAUAAGUUAGUUCAUGAAAAAUUAGGAGUGUAUAUGGGACGUAGGACCCGCUAGUGCCUUAAGUGAGAGAAAUUCGGUCAAUUAGAUUAAGUUUUGCAUAAAGGAAUUUAAAUACUAGGUAUUAGGAGAUAAUUAGAGAUUACCUAGAUGGAUUAACCAUGGGGAGACAAGAAGAUAACUUUAAAGCAUAAAAAGUGCCACGUGUCAUUUUCUUAUUUGAAGUUGGACUUGUCUAACUUUCUUACCUUUACUAAAAGAUCAAUUUUGACCCAAAUCAUCUUCGUUUUGUACCCUUCUUGGCCGAACCUCUCCUUGGGAGAAAAGAAAAGAAAGUUUCAACUACUUCUUCCAUUUCUUGCACAAAUAUUGAAAUCCAACCGAUUAAACCUUGAAUUAGUCCACAAAAGUGACUUGCUAAGGGAGUUUGAAGGUCUUGGUGGAGUUGUUUUGGAAGAGAAACCCCUAAGCUACUACCUUUCUUGAGAAGUUAAGAUAUUUUUCUUGGAAACUCACUCUUUGUUCCUAAUAAUGGUAAAUUAGUGACCUAUGAUGGCUAAAUAGGUUGGUAUAUGGAUGAUUCCAUGGAUUAAAGUGGAGUUAGCUAAAUUUCUGAUUUUUUUGGAAAUUUUUCUGUUUUCAUAUGAUGGUUAUGGUUGGCCUUGGAUUGAUAGGUCUAAAUUGUAUUAAAUGGAGCCCUUGUGCAUUACUUGCGGUUAUUUGCAAAAAAUUUCCGCUUGUGCGGAAAAUUUCAGAUUUAGGGCUUCUAAUUAGGGCUUUCCUAUGGUUGGUUGUUGAGCUUCUAAUUGGCUAUGAUUGAGGGCUAUUGUGACCCUAAUGAAGUGUGUUGAAUGGCUUAUGAAUUGUUUGUGUGCUUGUGGUUGCUUUGGAUGAAUUUCAAUGGUUGUUUGUAGGAUGGAAAAUCUGAAAUUUUAGGAGAAAUGCUAUCCAAAUGUUGAGGAUGGUGGAUUCUUGUGAGUUUAGGUUGAGGUUGGAUAGAAACGAAAGAUUUUGGGGUUUGUUUCUACCUUUAAGCCUAAAUGUUAUGUAUUUUCCAUUUCAAGCUAUAUUUGGUUUUACCUUAGUAGUUCAUUUAAGAGGUAUUCGACUCAUGUCCGAGUCUCAAUUGUGCUUUCUUGAUUGUAUAGGGCCUGCCGGUGAACCGAGGCUUACGUCGGGCGAAAACUUGUGAAAUUGCUUGUUUGAAUUGGUGAGUGUACCAUUGUAUGGUUUAAUGCUUAAAUGAUUGUUUAUACAUGAUUCUGUGAACUUGGUUGACUUGAAUGAGACAAGAGUGUACUUCACCGCUCUUGUUCUCUUCCUUGUAUGACUACUACUGUAUUACUGUGAAACUGUACUUGUGCAUGAUUUAAUGUCGAUUGGAGGGUUGUAUCCAACAACUUUAUUGUGAUAUCUGAGCUCUUACCUCAUUGGUCGUUAUUUGGGUCGAACCGGCAAGAGUUUGGUCGGUUCGAUAACGAACCAUGAGUGACUGUUAGUCGGGUGGAGUGUUAUUCUCGACCAUGUGGUAUACUCAAGUAUUACCUUUCUGUUACUGUGAAGUGUUCGGGCCCGGUAAGGGGAAUGUUCGGUGGAAGGAAUGUGGUGUAAAGUGGGAUCUACGGUCUUGUUCUUUACUCCAAACGUUGACGGAGUGUCGACGGGUUUGAGAUCAAGUACGGCAAGUGGAAAGUGGCUCUUGAGAGCCGAUCGUAUCCUUUUACCUUUGGUUAUGGUGAUGUAAUUUCUUAUGUGUUCCUUGCCUAAGUAUGAUUAUCUUGGUGUGUCUUGUCAGUACCUCACAAGCGUAAGCUCAUCCUCGUUAAUUUUGUUUUCCUUACAGGGUCAACUUUUGGAAACCAUGAUUUUGGAAGACUGAAUUGAGCUAGUAUAAAUACUUUUUGUAUAGUUCAUCGGGAGUUGGAAAACCCUAAAUGUACCUUGAUCCAAAUAUGUCCCUUUUGCUUUGUAAAUUACAAAUGUAUGUGUAUAAAAAUGUUCAAUCAUGUUCAUGUAUUGUAUUUGGUUUGGAAAUGUUCAUUCUCUAGAAUUAUUUAACGUUAUCGGUAUUCGAUUGGGUACCAGCUGGAUGGUGACGUGGCAGUCACUAUUCACUUUCAGUUGCAAUUUUUGUUUUCCGUUUUGUGAUUGUUGAAUCAUUUAGGAGUGCUAAUAUAUAUAUUCCGAACGUUUUAGUGUAUUUUAUCAUCUUAGUAGUCCUAGCGAGAGUUAGGCAGGCAGUUUGCUAACCCCUUUGGUACGUCUUAGGGAGAGGUGGGGCUGUCACAUUGCUGCCAAAAGAAGAUUAAACACUAGGAUUUGAGCUCCUAAAUUACCAAGUUUCUUCCUUGAUCAAAUUUUCUUCCAAGCUUGUAAGAAGAACCAAGAGGAGAAGCAAAUUUUGGGGAGCCUUGUGGAGGAAAAAUGGAAGAUAAGAAGCUGAAAUUUUUGAGGGGAAAUGGGGGGAGGAGGAUCGGCCAAGACAAGGAGAAGAAGGAAGGUUUUUGGUUGGUAGGUGAGUGAUGUGAUGGUGUGUAAGAAGGAUGGACAUAAAGUGCUCUAGUGCCCUAUAAGUCAAUAUCCUAUUGGUGUGCAAUUAGUGCUCCUAAUUGAGUCUAACUUAACUCACUCACUCUAAUCUCUCAAUUAACUUUUCUUAGUCUACUAUUGAUCAUCCUUAAUACUCCAAGGUUAUUGCACUCUCGAUCCGAAUUUACCUCGAAAAACAUGUAUUCACUAUUUCUUGCUAAACGAGCCGUAGAAAAAUUAAAUUCGCUAACGAAACGUUUCAAAAAUAUAAACGAGGCAUGGAUCCAUGCAAAAUGGAUUUAAAAUGGGUGAAAUAAAUUAUUCGGAGUAAACGGGUGAAUAAAUAAUUAAAUAAACCAGUAAAAUGAAAUAAAAAUAAGAAAAUAAAAAUUCGGAUUCUCACAGCUUUCCGUUCUCCCCUCACUAGAAGCAACUUUAAAGUCAAAGGUCCCAUCAAAAGAGUACUCACCCUAUUUAGUAGUGGUGACACAUGCCUCUUAGAUUCUUCAUGUGGCGUAUUGUGGUUUCAUCAUCCAAUACACAAAUGGAGCUGACACAACUUAGGACCUAUUUGGUAACUCUACUUAAUGUUGAAAAUUAAUUCAUUCAGAGUUUUUUGAAUUGAGCAUGUUUGAUAAUAGAAAUAUGAGGACCCAUAAAUUUUCUUUAUUUCAUAAUAUUUUAUUUUAUUUUUCUCGCAUGUAUUUUCUUCAUUAAACCCUAUUAUGUUGAUUUUCCAGAGAUUUUUAUAAGUGAGUAUAGGUUUUAAAUCAUUUUCAUAAAUUAAGUUAGUUCAUGAUAAGUUUGAAGUGCGUUAUAGAUGUGGGAUCCGCUAGUGCGCUAAGUGCGAUAAAUUUUUGAUGAUUAAUUGAAGUUUUGUAUUAAGAAAUGUUAUUUUUCCAGGUGUUAGGAGAUCAUUGGAGGUUAGUUAGAUUAAUUUGUAUUGGGAGACAAGAGGAUGAGAAUAACAUUAAAAGGUGCUAGGUGUCGCGAUCUAAUUGGAGUUGAAUUUUGACCUAACUUUCUUACCUUUACUAAAUACCAAAAAUAUCUUAUUUCUUCUUCCUUCUUGGCCAAACACUUGAGAGAAAGAAAGAGAGGAAAAGUUUCAUCUUCAACGUCAAAUCCAAGCCAAAUCUUAAGUUCCAACCAUUAGAAUCUCAAAUUACUCCAUAGAAACUUCUUGCUAGGGAGGAUUAAGGAGGUUGGUGGAGUUGUUUUGGAAAGGGAAGACCUAAGUUGCUAGCUUUCUUGAGUUUUUGAGGUAAGUUGCUAAGAAAGUUCCCUCUUUGCUUUCAUAAUGGUUGAUUAGUGGGUUGUAGUGGCUAAAUAGAUUAUUUUGUGAAAGAUUUUAGGGUUUAAAGUAGAGUUUGACAAAUUUUAGAAUUUUUGGUGAUUUUUAUAAUUUUAUAUGAUGAUUAUUGUUGGGAUGAUAGCUUUGGUAUGUUAGUUUUGAUUGCCUAAAAGAAAUUUCAGCUAGAGUGCAUAAAUUCCAGUUUAGGGUUUAAUCUUACCCUGUUCUGUCCAGUUCUGUUCGGCCAUGAUGGAGGCUGAAUCAGGCUUAGGUUAAAACAUAAAAGUUGUAGGAAAUGAUGUUUUAUAGCUGCCUGUAAAAUUUUAGCUCUAUCAAAGCACUGUAGCAUGUGAAAAGAUAAAAAUACCCCUGACUGCCAUAGGUAGAGUUUUGUGGACAGUGUUGAUAUUUCACCAAUCUGACCGCAUCUAUUCACCCUGAUCCGUACUGAAUUAGCAUUUGGCAAAAAUAUGGAAGUUGUAGUGCUAUGUCUUAGCUUUCUAACGGCCCUGAAAAUGCCUCAAUUGGACUUCGGUAGCCUGAGUUAUUGUCGUUUAAGCAUCGUGCGGUUAACUAGCCUGAUUAUGAGACUCUAGUUUUGUAAUUUGAAAUUUUGAUCUGGUUACACUACGAACUAUGUGAGAACCCUCAUUUUUAAAAUACAAUUUUCCCAAACUACAUGCCUUGCAUCAAGAUUUAAACCACCUCUUAUAUGCCCUAGCAUUAUAUUUUAUAAUGUGUUACAACAAAUCCCUUGUAUUGACCCUCACUUUAAAACACAAUUUUCUUAUUUACAUGCCUUAUUAUAAGAUCUAGACCAUUUAAUAUAUGCCCUUACAAUAUAUUUCCUAUGUAUUAUAAUAAUUUUCAUGCAUUACAUUUCAUUUCAUUUUACUUGAAGUAAAAUAUUAUCUUGAGUUGGAUCUAAUAGUUCACCACUUGCAUUUUACCAAGUGUUCCUUUAUUAGUGGAAGAGACUUUAUGUGAGUGAUUAGAGGUGUUAAAUUAGGAUUGGUACUUUUGAAAAGGUAUAAAUACCAUUAGUCAAAGGAUUAAGGGAAGUUGUGGUCAAGAAGAGAGAGAUGUGGCAAAACCCUAGCCAUGGACUUGUUUGACCAAAGAUUAAGAAGACAAUUUAAACUAAACUUGGCUCUUUUUUUCAGUAUGUUGGCCAAAAUUCCUAGCUUCAAAAGAGAGUGAGAGAGAGAGCUCCAUAAACUUGUCUUUUACCCUUAGUAAAUCAAGAGCAACCAAAUCAAAAGAGAAAGAUCUACAGUUUGUGAGAAAACUUUCUUCAAUCCUAGUGGUUGAUUCAAGCUUUGAGGUUUUCAUUUUGGUGGAUUGACUUGGUGGUCCAAGCUACUCACAAGAAAGGUAAGUACACCUUAAAUGGUAGUUUUAUGGUGAUAAAUCAUGUGUUUCAAGUGUUAAUGGCAAACCAUAAGUUGUUUGGGUUGUGAGUUGAAGUAAUCUCUUGAAAUAGACAAAAGAGUAAUUAGUUAGAAAGCAUGCCUACCAAGUGUUUGAUGAAAUGCAUGCACUUUAUUCAUGGUUUUUUAUGAAGUAUUAACAUGUUUUAAAGCCCUUUUGAGUGAGAUAUAACACUUGGCAUGUGAUUUAAGUGGAAAUCAUGAAAGGAUGAAAGUUAGAAAAUUUGGAGAAGGUGCUGUCCGAAAUUUCAAGGGCUUGCUGCCCUAUUUUGCUUGGAUAUUUCGUGCUUAAUAUGGCUACAAAUGUGAGGGAUAUAUGUUGUGUUAUAUGUGUGGAGGUUGUCUACAAAAAAUUAGCCAAUUUGGUUGGAUAAAUUUUGAGUUAUGAGCAAAGAGGCAAAACUGGACUAGGUCCACGAAUUUUCUGACCAGUGAUCUUGUGAGGGUCAUAAUGUUUUCCUCUAUAAUCAGAAUUGAGUGCCAUUUAUGGCAUUUGAAAGUAGACUCUUAGAACUUUAAAAUGGUACCAAGCUCAUUUUCUGGUUCGUCCCGAGCGAUUCGUGGCGAGUCUUGAAAGUUGGCUGCCCGUUUAUUACUGUUCAUCCAAGACUGUCCAGAAAAUUCAUUUGGUUGCUUGAUGUUGAACCACUUAUGUUUGGAUUUUGGAAAUGGUUUCUUCUACACAAAUAUAUCCUUGUGAAUCUAGUUUCUUACACCACUGACGGCACCUAAUUCCGAUUUUUCUACAGUGAGUUAUGACCGUUUUACUGAGACUGCUUGGGCAAGACUGUUCAACCCGUGAAGAACUCUUAAGCUCAAAUGAAACUUCUCUUUUGGCCAACUUUCUUGUACUUGUUAAACUUGUUUCUCAUGAACUUUUACUGUAUUUUGGGCCAACUUUACAUGAUGAAUUGCAUGACUUUAACCACUCACUUGAUCUCUUAAUGAGCCUACAUUUGAGUGGAAAUGAACCUUGAAUGUUAACGAUUUCACUCGUUGCCCUAGGAUUGGGAAACGAAGGUGGUCGUAACCAGGCCACUUGACGUUUGACUACUACUUUGCUUGUCAGGUGAGUGUUCCACUACCUACUACCACUUGUUAUGUGAUAUACUUGGAUACUUGAAAUGCCUGAUUUGUUACUGUUUAACCCAAACACUGUUUUGAUAAAAUGGGGGCGAGUAUGUACUUUAUCGCACUCGAUCUCCCUUGUUUUCACUGGAGCUCUAUAUAUUGUUAUUAUGAGAUGUGAUAUCUCCAUGAAUGCCUGUGAUUGAGUUGUUUGGACAAUAUUCCAUCAACUACUGCUACUGUUUGGGUACCCAACCUCAUAGGUAAAUCGGUUGUAUCGAACCAGCAAGGGAUUCAUCGAGAAGGCCGAUAAACCUUGAGAACUGUUUACUGUACACUGGAAAUCGGUAGACUCGAGUAUUACCAAACUACUGUUUAUGGAGUGCGGGCCCGGUAGGGGGUUGAUUUGGUGGACGGAGAUUGGUGAAAGUGGUGUUCUACGGACCCUAUAUAUUGUGCAUACAAGUGUUGACGGAGUGUCAACAGGAGGCAAUUAUGAUCAAACCCAAGUGGAUCUUUGGCUUUUGAAAGCCACCCGUAUCGUUGAAUUGAACUGUGAUUAAACUGUUAUUCUACUGUACGGUAUUUAUUAGGUUAUUUUGUGACCUUAUGUGGCUAUGUGUUUAUUUGCUUUAUUUGGAAUCUCACUGGGUUUUAGCUCACCCCAUUCCCUUUGUUUUCCUUAACAGAUCGGGAAUGGACUUGAUCAAGAGUUUUUUUAGCUUUAUUUUGCUUUGAACUUGUAUUUGGAGAUUUGUAACUUUUGUUUGAGAAAACUUGUAAGUUUGAAUUCAUAAGUUCGACUUAUGCUAUGUAAAUUAAGUGUGGAGUGGUAAGUUAACAUUUAGCUAUAUAUACUAAGUUUUGGAUAGUUGGCGUAGUGAUUAUGUUUCAAUUAGGGUUACACUCCCUUGCUUGAGAGGUAAUUCAUCAAUUUCAUUUGAUUUGAUAGUUCUUUGAUCGACCGAGCCCCUGCGAGAGUUGGGCAGACAAUCCGCUAAUAUCCUAGGGUUCGCCCUAAGAAGAGGUGGGGCUGUCACAAACUGGACUGAGUGGUCUUCAUCAAAAUUGUAGCCCUUUAUCUUAGCUUCAAAAUGGUAUAAAUUGCACACCAAUUUAAUAAGCGUAGCUUCGGUUGUGUCUGAUUCGCUAAGCGACGUCAAAUCUGUCUUUUGUUUUAUGACUUAAACUUCAUUUUCGGACAUUUUCCUAACUUGAUUUUGUACUUGUACGACAUUGAGCCUAUUGAACGGCUAUUGAAAUGAGAUUAUUUUGUGGGUGACAUUGGGGCUGAUUUGAGGAAAAAUGAAGUCAUGAUGGCCGGAAAAGUAAGGAAAUUUAGGAGGAAAUGCUAUCCAAUUUUCUAGGCCGUCUGAUUCCUUUAAGUUGGAGUUGCAUUGUGGUAGAAUGAGGGAGUUUGGGGUUGUUUGUAACCCUCGUACCAACUGUUAUCCGUCUGUUCAAAAAAAUUGCAUUUUUAUUUUUUUGUACUAGUAUAUAACUUGGAGAGGCACCCGACUAGCAAUCGAGUCUCACUUGUGCAUCCUGUUUACUCGAUUUUGGAUGUGAAAACUUUAACUAUUUUACCUUUGUUAUUCUUAGGGUUUCACAGUGAUUAAAGCCACUUUGGGUGAAAACUUUUGAAGUAUCUGUACUUGAACUGGUGAGUAUACCACUCCCCUAACUUGUUGUUUAAUUUGGUUUCUGUACAUGCAAUUUGUGAUAUGGAUGACUGAACUAUCUAUUUAUUCUGUUUGAGAUGAGGGUGUACUUUAUCACACUCAUUCUCUUGUCUAUUCAUAUGCCAAUUUACUAUGUGAAUUUGAAUCUGUUAUUUGUAUCUGUAUUUGUUCUGACGUUGUUUGGAGAUUUGAAUCCAACGACCCUUCUAUGACCUCUGAGCUCAAAUCCUGUGGUUAAGUUACUCGAGUCGAACCGGUAAGGGUCUGGUCGAUUAGAUAACGAACCACAGUAGUCUGUUCUAGGAAUUUUUGGGUAUUGUGAUUCUUGAUUUCGAUAUACUCGAGUAUUACCACUUCUGUUUUUGUUGAGGUGUUCGGGCCCGGUAAGGGGUAUAUUUGGUGGACGAAAAUUGGUGUAAAGUGGGAUCUACGGAUAUGUUGAUUCUAUUUAUGUUGACGGAGAGUCAACGGGUUCGGAUCAAAUACUGCAAUGGAAAUCUGGCUCCUGAGAGCCACUUCUAUCCUUUCCCUUUGAAUCACUGUGUCUAACUGCUUUCCUUUAUAUCUGGUAUGUGUAUCUGAUUGGUUAAACGCGAAAGGCCAUGAUUUUACUCCUAUAUGUUUGGUACCUCAUUGAGUGUAAUCUCACCCCUUCCUGUUACGUUUGUUUUUCCUUACAGGGGACAAACUUGGAAAUCACGGUUUUGGAAGAAAGGGGUCAAGCUAGUAUAUAUGUCAUGUUGUUAAACUCUUUUGAAAAUGAAACCCUAAUUGUAUUUUGUGUAGUAUGAAUACCUUGGAUUGUACUUUAUGUUAAUUUGUUCAAGACUCCAAUGUAAACACAUGUUUAAAAGUUUAACCUUGUCUAUUAAGUGUAUUCAUUGAGAUGUUACGCUUCUAUGGCUUUGGUGAGUGCUUAACUGAUGUCCUGUUUCACCACAUGGUUUGGUAAGUUAUAUUGGAGCUUGGUGGUUUUCAUUUAUUCGUUUUCUUUGAGUCCUAUCGUGCGUACUAUAGGAUUUGUGAGAUUCGGCUCCGUAGUCCUGGCGAGAGCUGAGCAGGCGGUCCAUCGAACCCUUUGGUUCGCCUUAGCGGGAGGUGGGGCCGUCACAAGAAAUAUCUUAUCACCUAAUGUAGUAAGCACUGCUUAAUUUGUGUACAAAAUUUACUAAGUUUUUUUAAUUGACUAUAUAUAUUAUUCAUCUCACACACAUAACACAAUCUCCUAUUGUUCUCACACAUGGUAAACGUUUGUUUUCUUUAUGUUCGACACACAUAGAGACUAAUGUUAUUAGACUAGGGCUAGACUGAUCAGUUCGAUCAUGAACCAGCCUUCUUUCAAGCUAGUUAGUAGUACAAAACUACUUUAGUCAAAAUCGUCAAAAUUCAGCCAAACUAGUGGCUCCGUUCAACUGCUUGAUUCGAUUCUCAAACUUUUUUUCUUAUUUUCCUAAAGCAUAAUUUGAGUUACUUAAAUUAUAAAACUUUCAUUUAUUAAUAAGAAUAAGGAAAUACCACUUACUUAGUGUAAACAUUAAGAUCACUUGCUUCCCUAAAUAAUCUCUAAAUGAAGUUUUUAUCCCUAUCAUCUUAUCAAUUUAUCAUCAAUAAUUCCAACUUGCAUUAUAAAGCCAUAUUUCCAACAAAAAGAUCUCAAAUAGGAAGAUUUGUUUUAAUUUUGUUUUUCAAGUAAUUUUUGAGAAUCGACAUAUUUUAGACAUGAGUUCACAUUUUUAUAUAUAAUUUUUAGCUGUAUAUUUGAUUCCAAGCCUAAUAUUUUUGUGGCAGUUUUGUAUGGUUAGUUGAAUAUAAUUAAGAACUUAAUUUCAAUAUUAUAAAACUUAUAAAAUAUAAAAUAAUUAUGACAUCAUAUUGACAUCAGCGAAUUUUUUAUAACGGUGGACUUGUAGACACCAAAUUUUUGAAUUAAUUUUGUAUGUUUCGUUUUAGUGAUAAUUGGUUGAUUUUUGUUUAGACGGUUUGCAUUUUAGUUCAUUUUCGUUUGUCUAGCUUUUUUAGGUUUUAUUUUAUUCCCUUUUUAGUUUUUAGUUGUUUUUGUAGUUUUUAAUUUAUAAGUUUUAGCGUAGAUUUUUUUUAGAAAAAGAAAAAAAAGAGAGAAAAAUGAAAAUAAAGAAAAAAAAGGGAAAAUUGUUGCCGCAGCAUCAAAGCUGCGGACUUGCGCCGUUUGCAAAGAAAUCUGGGACGGCUCCUGAAGCUGCAAAAUACAGAAAAAGGACAGAGGUUCUUAGGGUUGAAUUGGGAUAUAAAAGCAAAAGAGAAAGCCAGCCGCAGGGGAGAUUUUUUGGAGAAGGGAGGGACGGAAAGAAGUAGAAAAAAGAAACGGCGGAGGAAAAACAAGAAAAAAGGGGGCAGCCGUAAAAAAUUUUUGGGGGAAGAACCAGAAAGGCUGUGAAGAGAGGGGAGAGAGCUAAGGACUAAGAGAAAAAAAAGAAAGCUUGGAGUCUUGGAAAGAGUGACGGAAACGGAAGAACGGCAAAAGAAAGGGAGACCAGAAAAUUUCCAGAUUCUUGGCGUAAAUUCCAUCACAAUCAGUCCUUUCGAUUCAUCUUCAUAGCACGGUUUUCAUAUAUUUGGUGUUAAGGAUUCAAGGUAACUCUUCCUCUCCACCUUUCCGUACUUACAAUGCUCAGUUUUUCAUCCGAUGUUGAUGUUGAUUUUGGCUUCACAGUUUUGAUUUCUUCUGUGUCCUUGGGUAUUUGCUUUUUCCUACGUUAUUGGUACAGAUCUUAGCUUUAUUUCCUUGCAUUUGGGUUUUGUGUUUAACAUGGAUCAUUGAUACUCUUUCUGUGUAGACAUCACUUCACGUUUUCUCGUAUUUAGUAACACAUCCUUGGGUAAAAGUUCCAUGAGCAAAAUCUGUUUUUCUUUUCCCUUUUUGCAAACUGUUUCUUCAACUCAGAUUUCCGUGGGUUUGGUUGCUUGGCAUUGAAACCUGCUUUUGUGGGUAUAGAAAUCUUUCUAUGGGACAUGAUGAAUCCAUGAAACUUGUUUUCAAUAUUGAAGGUUGAUCUUUGUUCGUUUGAAUAAGCAAAUUAAAAAAAAAUGAAAAAUUUCUGAGCAGAUUCUGUUUGAGGCUUCCUCAAAACCAUUUCGUAGUAUCAUUUUGAAAGCCUUUAGAAUGUUGUCGUCUUGGUACCUUGUUCUUAAUACUUAGUUGUCGUCUUGGUCAGCCUUUUUAGAGUGUUUUUGAAAGCUUUGAAUUAGGAUGGGGCAGUAAAUGAUUAUCUCAUCUUGUUCUAUUGCUGAAUUUCGAUUGAGGGAAAAGGGUAGUGAAUCUGUAUGUUUGUUUUAUUGUAUGUUAUGCUCCAGGAGCUUAUGGACUCCUCCCUCUCUCCUUUGUCCCAAGUUUUGUGCUGGCGUUAUGUUUAGGAUCUGCUUUGAGUCCUUUUAUGUCUUUACAUUAGAGCUCAAAUUAGCUAAGAGCCCCCUCAAUCAUCAUGCGGCUAUGCUAACAGUUUUUCUUUCUUGUCUUCUGCGUUUGGGUUGCUGGAAUUUGUUUAAGUUUGCUUUAAUCGUCUGAGAUGUCAUAAGAAUGUUUGGGAGCUAAACAUUAGAGACCAUAUCAUUUGUUGGAUUGGUAGUGACCGAAAGAAAGAUCUCGCUGCAAUUUUCCAGUUUAGACGUGAGCUUUCAUAAUUGUUCCCUUGCUGCACUUUCAUUUAGCCGUGGUUUCCUUUGGUCAUUCCUUUGCUGCACUUUUCAUCUAGCCAUGAGUUGCACAUCUUAGUUCCUUAGCUGCACUUUUCAUCUAGCCAUGAGUUGCACAUCUUAGUUCCUUAGCCGCACUUUUCAUCUAGCCAUGAGUUGCACAUCUUAGUUCCUUAGCUGCACUUUUCAUUUAGCCGUGAGUUAUCACUUUGUUUCCUUCGCUGCAUUUUUUCAUAAACCCAUAAGCUUGAUGAGCUUUAUAUGUGCGAAGUUCAUGUGAAUGGAGUUGCGACAUAGCAACAGAAAUUUUCGUCGUAGAUGGUUUUCUUUCUUUUGCUGUAAUUCAUCUUCAUAAUUUGCUGUUUUCUUAGCAUUUCGCAACAAUACAUAAGCUGGUUUGCUCAUUUCUUUUCGCUAGCUGAAUUAGGUGUAGAAAGGGGUGGUGUUUGAUUGGUUUUGAAGUUGUAUGCUCGGCUCUAAACAUUGUGAACCCAUUUUUAAACAUUGCUGGAUUUUUGAUGAGAUUAGAAAUGUUGAAUCUUCUUGGCAUAAAAUUUCCUAGCACUUGCAUGUUUGUUCCUGAUAUGUUUUGGUUUGUUUGGGGGAUCAAGUUGGGAGUUAUGUUGUUUGACUCAAAGUGGGGAUGUUGCUAGAUAAAAUUUGUCCAAGCUUGGCGUUAGUUUUGCCAAAAUCUGUUUGAAAAAAAAAUGAAAAUGCACCAAUCUUUGAGUGGGUUUUUGUAACAAAAGUGCAGCAGCUUUUUGGUUUUGUAAACUUGCAAGAAAUUACUUUGAUUAAGUAUUGUUUAAGCAUGCUUUAAUUAGAGUUAGUUUAACGCUUUGUUAGCUAAAGAUUCAUAGAUGAAUUUGUGGAUAAGCUAGCUUAGCCUACCAAGAUUUUCUUGUUGCUGCCGAAACUUCCUUGUUGUUUUGCCGAAAGUUUCUUGUUUGUUGCAGAAAAUUUUGUUCCUCACGUAUGCAUGCAUGUCAAUAUUUCUGAAUUUAGCACUUUGUCCCCCCAAGUCCCUUCUCAUUUUACUAUGGCCCAAAUAAUGGAAAAUGGUAAUCGAAUUGAUCCUUCAAAUUUCUUUUCCAUUUCAAUUGGGAUUCUCAUUUAGUGAAUGUGGACUUGUUUGAUUAUUUGAAGGGCUCCAAUGGUUCAAUUUCAUAUCAAUUAGUGGUUCUUUGACUUUUGUUUUUGUGCUAUUUGGUUUACUAUUAAAUUGGUGCAUUGAUCAUUUGUUUAAUGGUUUUAGCCCAAUUUAGAACCAUUUCCAUUCAUUAGCUUCACAAGCAAAGGGGACGGUAUAAUUUCUUUUAUCUUUUUUGUCUCUCCUAUGUGAUCCAAUGUGCUAAUUGAGAAUUACAUGUUUACUUGGCUUUCUUAAAUUUGCUUUAAUUCCUUUCAUUUUAAGUAUUUCUUUUAUUUAUUCAUGGGGUAUGUGUACACCUCUUGGCUUGUAAUAGAUAGGGCGUAGCAAGUAAUUUGGUCCAUUUUCCCUUUCCCCUUUGUUUUAGUUAGCAAAUGUAAUGGUUGCAUGCCUAUGUGUUAUAUGUUAAAUGCUUUAUUAGGAUCUUGCAUUUAGUCGAGCAUGAUGAGUGCUACAUGAUUUAAGUGAUUUGCAUGUCUACUCGCUUUUUGUAGUAUAGAUGAAUGGAAUGGAUGAAUGUACGUCGCCACACUAGUCCAACGCUAGUUGUGGUUCAUUUUUUUCACUAAUCUAAUGAUAGUAGAAUGUCAUAGAAAGGGCUAGUCCAAUGCUAGACCCAAUAGGUUUUUUUUUCCCUUUUUUUCAUUAAAUGCAUGAUCACCACAUAUCACGCAUUUUUCCUUAGUUUAUCAUUUGGCAUGUUCCUCAAACCCCUUCCCCUUCACUUUAGGACUUGCAUCUCAUGCUAGUUAGGGUUCAUUUGCGUGAAAAUCCCCUUCCGAUAAGGGAAACGAGCGAGUGUGGCUUCAAAUAGCCUUAGCACGCUAGUUUUUCCUUCUAGUCAAAGGGAAAAUUAAAAUCAUAAAACUAGAGGUCAUCCCCGUACCCGACUUGAUGCAUUCCUCUAAGUUCAUACAUUUUCAUUUUCUCAUUAUUCUCCUCAUUAAAUUUUUUAAUCCAUAUGCCAUAUUCACACACCUAUUCACUUCUUUAUUUUUCACCUCACACAUUGCACCUAUCUUUUUACUUAUAUAUAUUUACUAUUUUUGUUCACUUGCACACGAGCACUUAUAUUUUCAUUCAUUUGCACACAAACACUUUCAAAUUGCACACAUGCCCUUCUCUACACUUUGCACACUUACACUCUUAUUUGAGUCCUCAUUUGCAUCGUUCACGAUUUUCUAUGAGGUCUUUCUUAUUGGCCUUCACAAAUCAUGUGAAUGGGACCACAAGCCUCAUAAGAGACAUUUCUUAGAUUUAGGAUUGCAUUUCUCAUUCAUUAGUCUUUGUCCAAAUUGCAAAUACAUACUUUGGGUAGAAAAAUUUAGGAAAAUAAGGGUUAAAUCACGCAACUAGCCUUGGCUAGGUCGAAGGGGUGCCUUGGAUUUUUAUCCUUGCCUUCCCCUUCGUCAAAUGUGACUCCCGAACCUUUUUCUUUGUUUGCGUGGACUAGGAGUCGUUCAAAAGGGUUUCUUACUUUUUUCCUUAAAAAAUUCACUUUUUGGGUGACUUGGUACACCCUAACUCUAUACCAAGUGGCGACUCCAUUUUUCAUAUAAAAAACCCUUUUUGAACUAUUUUUCUUGGGUCAAAUCGUCGCAUUUUCAAAAGUCCCAUUUAGACCCAUUUUUAUUUUUAUCAAAAAAUUCACUUUUUCCAAACCAAUAAAAUCACAAAAACAAUCAUUUUAUUUUUCCAAAAAAAUGGGGCGCGACAAGACUGAUGACCCAAUAGUUUAGUCAAGUCGCUAUUUGGUUCAAGUUUAACAACAUUGAUGGAGACACAUAUGAAUGUGCACACUAUCUUUAUACAAAGAUACACACUUAAACACCACAUCUAAUACAUCUAAAUUGUUUCAUUAUUUUCUACCGCACGCACACACGAACAUUUUUCUUUUUCUCCAAAUACACAAAUAAAGGCAAUUUUUUUAACAAAAUAGAAACAUAAUAUUAGUGUGAUUUUUCGAUUCAAUAUUAAAAUCCUGUUAGUUAUCAGAAAGAUAUAAUAACUAAUUCAGUAAUUUAAUACUUUCAACACUUAAUUUUCAAAAUUCAGAUUUCAAAUUUCAGUUUUUUCAAAUGGGCUUAUAGCCAUGGCCGAAAUUUGUGGGGUCCUCCACUCUAUUUGGAAUGUGGAAUUUUGAAUUUGUAUUUUCUUCAUGCAAGCCAUCUUCCUCUAUUAGAGAUUUUCUAAAUAUCUCUUUCAUGAUUUUCUUGUGGAUAACCAUAUUGACAACAGCCAAAGCAAAUAAGACGAAAAUCCCCAUAUUCUACUGAUUGCAAAUUUCAUAAAAUUCAAGAGAAUCAAUAGUUUAUUGAGGUCCACCUCAAUGCAAAUGCGUGCACACUUUUGUUUGAAAUUAGAAGCCUUUAAUGUUUGCUUAGCGACCUUUUUUUCAUAUCUAUUUGAAUCUUCAAAAUCUGGUCCAGCUUUUUUUUUUUUUUCACCAAUAUGGGUUUUUAUUGUUCAACAAAACCAAAAUACAGAGAGUUCAUGGAAGCCAAUCUCAAUCUACCGAAAAUAGAUAGCAGGAGCACUACUCUCGUACAAUUUGCAUACGCAGAAAAGAACACUCCACUUGAAUCAAGUCGAAUAGCGGCUCUAAUAGCCCUAGGCAGCUGCUGAAGAGAAGUACAGAACAGAUCUAAAGAAGACUGCUUCACUGCCAACUUAUCCGCGGAGCUAUUGGCUUCUCUGAAGAUAUGAGUAACCAACGAGGAAAAAUCCCAUAACAGAGCGCGAAUUCUUCUCAAAACAUUACAGAGUGGCCACUUCGACAUUGUUUUGGAGGUGACCAACCUUACCAAGCUUUCUGAGUCCACUUCAACUAUCAAGUUAUCAACCAUCCUGUCUUUAUGCUUAGCGACCUUGAGUGCUAGUGUGGUAGAAAUUGCAUGCUUAGAAGAAUGGAUAUCUAGUUGCUAUUUAUUUCCUAUGGAAACUGGCUGAAUACCAUCCCAGGCCCCUCUUGAAGGAUGAAAUUAUAGUCACUCUUUUUACAAAAUUGAACUAAAAACAUAAUUCAUGCUAACAUGACUAAGUUCAAAUGGAAUGGUAGGUUCCUUAAUGAGAAGUUUGACAGACAAAAACUUGAAACUAAUAUUCUUCCCAAAACCUCACUAAUGAGAGAUUGGUGCCAGGGGUUCUACUUUUCAUUUAUUUCUUCCUCCAAUAAUUCCACCAAAGGCUAAUUGGAUGUAGCUAUGUUGAGUUUAAAGCAGCACCAAUUCGGGCAUACAUUUUCAGAUGAGCCAAGUAUGUUUUCAAAUACACGUUUAAACCCUUAUAUUUUGGGGAAAGAUUGUUUUAUGCUAAUAUUAAGGCCCUAGGACUAAUUAAGUGGUCUAAUUAGCCUGAUUUCAACAUAUUUAGCCCAUUAAAAGUAGGACUAAGUUGUUCUUGGGUUCAAAGUUAGACUUUAAUUUAAAUAAUUGUAGCUAAGGUAGGCUUACAUUUAAUUCUUGUUCAUGACUAAAAUCAAUAAAGUAUAUGAAAUAAUCAAAUAUUUAUAAUCAUAGUUUUAGUUUAUACAUUGGUCUAGUUAGUGUGAUUUCAUUCCAUUUAGCCCAUCAAAAAUAGGACGAGUUUGAUCUUCAGCUUACUCUUAUUAAAAUAGUUGCAACUAAGCGAAGGUUUGACCCUUAUUUAAGACUAAAAUUGUUUUAUGCAUUUAAUACUUAUUCAUGACCAAAUCAAUAAAGUACAUGAAAUAAUCAAAUAUUUAUGAUUAUUGUUUUAGUUUAUACAUUACAUAAAUCUUAGUUCUACGUUUAUUUACUUAUGUUUGAGAAAAUUCUUUUGUUGCACCAUAAAUGCAUUUUUCACACCAACGUCUUAUAUUAGUUCAAACAUUUACUCCAAAUAAUUGAUGAGCGCAGGGUAUACAUUUAACAAUUAGCUCAUUCACAGUUAAGUCUUGCAUUUAUAAAUUUCUAAAUACUCCAUACGCGAUUUUUCGCAAAUAUACGAGUCACGAUUGAGUAUAGGGUAUUAAGGGUCGAACCCAUAGGAAAGAUUUUCAAUUACCAAUGUUUUUCGAAUUCCUUUAUUAUUUAGACUACUACAAGUGCAAGAAAUUAAAUCUAUACUACAAACAUGAGAUAAAAGUAAUAAAAAUAAUAAUAGAAAACUCUUGGAGGUAUAGAAUUCCUUACUAUUCUUGCAAAUGACAUUAUCGAUUAAGUGACUGUUAUUAUCUUGCCUAGUUAUGGCGUAAUUUUCUAAUAUAUUUGAAACCUACUGUGACAGCCCCACCUCCCCCUAAGGCGAACCAGAGGGUUCGGCGGACCGCCUGCUCAGCUCUCGCCGGGACUCAGUCGUUCACUUCCAUCCUCAACCAAAAUCAGAACAAACCCAUAAGAAUAAACAUAACUAUGAUCCAAAACUUAAACGAAACUUAUAUACAUUGCUAUCUCAAAAGGAAGUACAACCGUCGAAUAUACAAAGGUUCUUAAUUCACCAUACAACCAACCCGUGCCAAGCAUUAGGGCGAGAACCAUUACAAAAAAAAAAAUAAGAGCUAGGCCAAGCUAGUCUAUACAGGGCUCUCGUCCUUGCUCGCCUUCCCCUGUUAAGGAAAACAAAACUAAAGGGAUGAACUAAAAGUUCAGUGAGGUUCCGAACACAUAGGCAAACAAUAAAUCCAAUACAUUCACUAUUUAUAACUAACAAUUCAAGAUACAAAUACAAUAUAAAGCAAUAAACACAUUUAUUAAAAGGAUACGUGCUCACAAGGAGCCAUUCAUUCAUUCUCCUUUCAUUUCCUUAUUCUUCCAACCAUUUAAAAAUGCAUUUUUGUAAGGAAAACCCUCGUUCGUUCGUUCAUUUCAUUAACCCCCUUCCCGGACGUUGGCCAAGCUCCACCAGAUUUCAAGGUAAUACUCGAGUAUACCAAACGUUCACCCAGGGUCACCAUAUCGCCCGACCGAGUCCGCUUCUGGCUCAAGUUGAUCGGUAUCGAAGGGCAGGGACCAGUUCAGCCAAAAGGCUUACAUUCAUGCAUAACUAAUCGUUCAAUCAUUGAAAAUUUCACCUUCAUUUAGGUCGAGUGCAAUAAAGUACACACUCGCCUAUAAAACUCGUUUUGGCAAUCAUUGAACACAUUUAACAUGCUAACAAUCAUUCAUACAAGUUAACAAUCAUUCAUACAAGCCAUGUAAUCAAGAAGGUAUAACAAACAAGAAAUACUUACCUAUUUACGCAAAACAACGUGCAAAAUAUCCUUCCGGAUAUUACCUUUAGUCACCGCGAAAACCUAGAAUUCAACGAGAAAGGACAUCACAAGUCAUCUAGCAAAACAAGUAAGUGAAAUCGAAGAAAAUCCGACAAUUGCCGGGUAGAACGUAAUAAAAUGACUUUAAAGUAAAACGAGGGCAUUUAGAUCCGUGAACGGAAAUAACUAGGGUUACAUAAACCAACCGCGAAACCAAACUUAAAAGGGUUAUCAAAUUUCCAACGGAAAACACUUGAACCAAAGACAAGUCGAAAUCCAACUAGAUAGGCUAAGAAAUACUGUUUUCGGAAUCAUUGAUGUAGUUCGAGAUCAACUCAUUUUCAAAUAGAUAUUAUAGACUAAAUGUCUUGAUGAAAAUCAUAUAAAAAGGAGGGAAAAAUACCUAAAUUUUAUAUUUAAAAAAAACCUUACUUGAAAGUAGCUUUCUCAUAACCGAGAAAACCCUAAUUCAUACCUUUAUAUUUUGGUAAAGAGUGAGUAACCAUUUGGAAUUUGAAACUAAAGAGGUGGCAUGUUUUAAAACGGUAGAACGGUCAUGGUAUUUGUCAAACUCAUAUAUAUAUAUAUAUAUAUGUGUGUGUGUGUGUGUGUUUAAAUAGAAACUUAGCCCUCGAACACCCCUCAAGCGAAUCGAUGAAAUUGUUAAUGAAAUACGUUUCACUUAACACAAAACACAUUUCCAAAAUUACCUUAACUCAUUCACAAUACAAAGAAAUAAACGGACGGCAUUCCCCCUUAAACCCUACAUUUUUACCCUACAAUACAAAAACCCAUUCUCAUGGCAACCCAACCACAAUCAUACAUACAACUCAUAAACAAUAAAACACAUCCAAUUAGGCCACAAAACCCUUCAAUCAAAGCUAAUUAGAAACUCCAAAGCCAACUAUAAGAAAACCCCCAAAUUAACCCUAGAAACCGGAAAUUCACACCCCAAGCGGAAAUUUUCCGCAAACCAUCGCAAUUAUCAUACCCAAGCUUCAAUUAACACCAUUUAGAGCUAUUAAUCCAAGACCAAUCCAUGCUCUUAAUAUAAAAUCAGAAAAAUACCUCAUAAAUCAAAAAUUGAACCAACUUGACUUGAAACCAUGAAAUCAUCCACAAUAUAGCAUGAUUAACCUUUACAAGCCACUAAUAUACCAUUAUUCAAUCAAAACAAGAACUUUCUUAGCAACUCACCUUGUAACUCAAGAAAGGUAGGAACUUAGAACUUCAUUCCCAAAAACAACUCCACAAUCACCUUUAACCCACCUUAGCCAACACUUGUACGGAGUGGUUUGAGAAUCUAUCAGUUAAAACUCAAGGUUUAAGUAGAAAUAGAAGUUGGAAAAAUAGAAGAGCUUUUCUUUCUUCUCUCAAGAGCCACGGCUGAACAAGGGAGCAAAAUGAAGAUAUUUUGGUGACAAAACAAUAUAAAAAGAGGAGAAAACAGGCGGUCAAAGUUGGUGGCCGCCUGUGCCACAUCACAAUCCGGCCAGAUUCUGGUCGGAUUUCCGGCCGAAUUCAGGGCAGAGACAGAAAUCAAAAUUUUUUUUUCAAAAAGCUCCACCAAUCCGGCCAGUUCUUGGCCGGAUUUGAGGCAGAUGCGAAACCAUUUCUUUCCAAAACCCUCAAACAAUCCGGCCAUCAAUCCGGCCAAGAGUUGGCCGGAUUUGUAGUCAGAUUUGGCACUUGCCACUUUUUGCAAAAUUUUUCUUCUUUUCCGAGUUUGAUUGCCGCGCUUAACUGCACCUCCUACAUAUACACAUAUAUACUCAUCACACACACAAAUACACGUAAUAACAAGACCAAACAAAUGGUUAAUUUCGCUUAAAAGGGAAAAUGAGAAUAAACCAAAAAGGCUGAGAAAAUAUGGAAGGUUUAGGGUUCUCACACUCUCCCCCCCUUAGGAAAUUUCGUUCUCAAAAUUUUUACCUUCAUUUGCUUCAGACGAGUCUGGAUCUGGUUGGUUAUCCAAUGCGUAAACUUUUGCCGGUACCCUUAUUCGGCUCCCUCUGUCAUUUACUUGUUUUGAUUUGGCUCCCUCCAGUUGCGAAACACUACUUUCACGUGACUAUUUUCUCGGACAGUUGCUAACUUGAUGAUCGCCACCUCCACAAAUCAGACAUUUCCGCCCUUUUCGCCAACAUUCAAUCUCGGUGUGAUUGGCCUUUCCACAGUAGCCACAAGUCAAGUGAGAAGCCAUUUUUUGGCUUUCUUGAGAUAUUUCCUCAGGUCCGAUGUGGCUUCCUUUUGUAGACCUUUCAUCUACCGCCCCUAAUGUCCAUGGUGGGCGGGAUAACUGGUUCACUUUCUGCACUUUAGAAGGUGCCAUCGUUUCAUUAAACUCUUCCAAUCCACUGCCCGAUACACCCAUUUUUCGAGUUUGGGAGGCUUUUAUCUAUGCCUUUGCCUCCUCAAUUCUUUGAGUUUUUUCAAGAGCCUCCGUAAAGGUAUUCACUUGCGCCACCGCUAAUGCCUCCUGGAUGUUCAAGUUCAAUCCCUGUAUAAGCCGUCAUACUCGUCGCCGUUCGGUAGCUACCAGUUCCGAAGCAAACUUGGAUAAUCUUGUAAAUUUCGUUUCAUAUUCGGCCACACUUAGCGUUCCCUGGCGUAGCCCAAUAAACUCCUUUUCUCUCCUCUCUUGGACUAAAGGUGGGAGGUACUUCUCGUUAAACUCCCUUAUAAAGUUCGCCCAUGUCCAUACGGUUUGUUCUCUUUCCCAUUUUGCCCUAAUCACAUUUCACCAUGCUCGAGCCGGUCCUUCAAAUUGAAACACAGCAAAGUUUACUUGUCUUUGCUCGGUGUAGUUCAAAGUUGUGAAAAUAUUAACCAUAGCCUCUAACCAUUGCUCGGCUACAUCCGGAUCAGACCCUCCAAGGAAUUUCGGAGGAGCAAACUUCUGGAACCUCUCAAGGGCCCGAUCGUCUCCUAUUUCAGGGUUCUGGGGUUGAUUUACAGGCAUUUGGCCUUGUUGGUCCACCAACCUUAUUAAAAUGUUUGUCAUUUGUUGAAUUGCCGUCGCCAUUUGGUCCCUGGCCUCAGCUCUCGGUUCUUGCUCUUGUGCGGCUGUUGUUGCCCUUUCCUUUCUUGGCUCUUGGGCUCGUUUAUUCCCACGUCCACGUCCACGACUACGUCUCCCAUCCAUAUAUAUGUUUUCCCUCUCUCUUUUCUUUUCUUUUCCCCAAAAAGGUAAUUUAAUGAUUAAACGCAGUAAAUUGACUAAAGUAACUAAACUCUAGUGCACCAAAUACACAAAUAGACAUAUACGCACAUAACACGCCAUAUCAAGGAGACCAAUAAGCAAAUACAUAAAUACGUAUCAAGUUGGACAAAUAACCAUGUACACAAACAUACAUACUAACAUCAGGUAGUAACAAUAUACGGGCGAAUCAAAAGGAAAAAGGUGAAGUCGUCCCAGUCUCAGUUAAAUAACCUCGUCCGGUCUCUCACAUCACUUACUAUCCAAACUAGAUGCCUAUUGACCUCUUGUACUCAUUCUAGCCAGACAAAGCCUGUUCAUGGUCCCAAAAUGCAACUCUCAAAUACUUAACACCGCCUCAACUCUGGAGUACUCGGGCACAAGAAUUCGAAAUAAGACAAUUCACGUCUCGAGCUGGCCAGUCUCAAGAGUAAACCAUCUACAAUCGAAAUUCCUCCCAGACGUACCUGUCUAUGGUCCUCAGAUACCAUGAGAAAAUUUAAGGCCUAUAACAUUCACAAUUCAUAGCUUAUGCUUGAACAAACACUUAAUCAUUCAUACUUAGUCACCACUCAGUCUAGGCUCACUCCGCGCAGAGACCACGCGAAACAGGCUCUGAUACCACCUGUGACAGCCCCACCUCCCCCUAAGGCGAACCAGAGGGUUCGACGGACCGCCUGCCCAACUCCCGUCGGGACUCAGUCGUUCACUUCCAUCCUCAACCAAAACCAGAACAAACCCAUAAGAAUAAACAUAACUACGAUCCAAAACUUAAAUGAAACUUAUAUACAUUACUAUCUCAAAAGGAAGUACAACCGUCGAAUAUACAAAGGUUCUUAAUUCACCAUACAACCAGCCCGUGCCAAGCAUUAGGGCGCGAACCAUUACAAAAAAAAACCAAGAGUUAGACCAAACUAGUCUAUACAGGGCUCUCGUCCUUGCUCGCCUUCCCCUGUUAAGGAAAACAAAACUAAAGGGAUGAGUUAAAAGCUCAGUGAGGUUCCGAACACAUAGGCAAACAAUAAAUCUAAUACAUUCACUACUUAUAACUAACAAUUCAAGAUACAAAUACAAUAUAAAGCAAUAAACACAUUCAUUAAAAGGAUACGUGCUCACAAGGAGCCAUUCAUUCGUUCAUUCAUUCAUUCAUUCUCCUUUCAUUCCCUUAUUCCUCCAAUCAUUUAAAAAUGCAUUUUUGUAAGGAAAACCCUCAUUCGUUCGUUCAUUUCAUUCACCCCCUUCCCGGACGUUGGCCAGACUCCACCAGACUUCAAGGUAAUACUCGAGUAUACCAAACGUUCACCCAGGGUCACCAUAUCGCCCGACCAAGUCCGCUUCUGGCUCGAGUCGGUCGGUAACGAAGGGCAGGGCCCAAUUCAGCCAAAAGGCUACCAUUCAUGAACAACUAAUCGUUCAAUCAUUGAAAAUUUCACCUUCAUUUAGGUCGAGUGUGAUAAAGUACACACUCACCUAUAAAACUCGUUUUGGCAAUCAUUGAACACAUUUACCAUGUUAACAAUCAUUCAUACAAGCCAUGUAAUCAAGAAGGUAUAACAAACAAGAAACACUCACCUAUUUACGCAAAAUAACAUGCAAAAUAUCCUUCCGGAUAUUACCCUUAGUCACCGCGAAAACCUAGAAUUCAACGAGAAAGGACAUCACAAGUCAUCUAGCAAAACAAGUAAGUGAAAUCGAAGAAAAUCCGACAAUUGCCGGGUAGAACGUAAUAAAAUGACUUUAAAGUAAAACGAGGGCAUUUAGAUCCGUGAACGAAAAUAACUAGGGUUACAUAAACCAACCGCAAAACCAAACUUAAAAGGGUUAUCAAAUUUCCAACGGAAAACACUUGAACCAAAGACAAGUCGAAAUCCAACUAGAUAGGCUAAGAAAUACUGUUUUCGGAAUCAUUGAUGUAGUUCGAGAUCAACUCAUUUUCAAAUAAAUAUUAUAGGCUAAAUGUCUUGAUGAAAAUCAUAUAAAAAAGAGAACAAAAAUACCUAAAUUUCAUAUUUAAAAAAAACCUUACUUGAAAGUAGCUUUCUCAUAACCGAGAAAACCCUAAUUCAUACCUCUAUAUUUUGGUAAAGAGUGAGUAACCAUUUGGAAUUUGAAACUAAAGAGGUGGCAUGUUUUAAAAUGGUAAAACGGUCAUGGUAUUUGCCAAACUCAUAUAUAUAUAUAUAUAUAUAUAUAUAUAUAUAUAUAUAUAUAUAUGUUUAAAUAGAAACUUAGCCCUCGAACACUCCUCAAGCGAAUCGAUGAAAUUGUUAAUGAAAUACGUUUCACUUAACACAAAACACAUUUCCAAAAUUACCUUAACUCAUUCACAAUACAAAGAAAUAAACGGACGGCAUUCCCCUUAAACCCUACAUUUUUACCCUACAAUACAAAAACCCAUUCUCAUGGCAACCCAACCACAAUCAUACAUACAACUCAUAAACAAUAAAACACAUCCAAUUAGGCCACAAAACCCUUCAAUCAAAGCUAAUUAGAAACUCCAAAGCCAACUAUAAGAAAACCCCCAAAUUAACCCUAGAAACCGGAAAUUCACACCCCAAAAGGAAAUUUUCUGCAAACCAUCGCAAUUACCGUACCCAAGCUUCAAUUAACACUAUUUAGAGCUAUCAAUCCAAGACCAAUCCAUGCUCUUAAUACAAAAUCAGAAAAAUACCCCAUAAAUAAAAAAUUGAACCAACUUGACUUGAAACCAUGAAAUCAUCCACAAUACAGCAUGAUUAACCUUUACAAGCCACUAAUAUACCAUUAUUCAAUCAAAACAAGAACUUUCUUAGCAACUCACCUUGUAACUCAAGAAAGGUAGGAACUUAGAGCUUCAUUCCCAAAAACAACUCCACAAUCAUCUUUAACCCACCUUAGCCAACACUUGUAUGGAGUGGUUUGAGAAUCUAUCAGUUAAAACUCAAGGUUUAAGUAGAAAUAGAAGUUGGAAAAAUGGAAGAGCUUUUCUUUCUUCUCUCAAGAGCCACGGCUGAACAAGGGAGCAAAAUGAAUAUAUUUUGGUGACAAAACAGUAUCAAAAGAGGAGAAAACAGGCUGUCAAAGUUGGUGGCCGCCUGUGCAACGUCACAAUCCGGCCAGAAUCUGGCCGGAUUUCCAGCCGGAUUCCUGGCCGGAUUCAGGGCAGAGGCAGAAAUCAAAAAAAAAAAAUUCAAAAAGCUCCACCAAUCCGGACGGCAAUCCGGCCAAGAACUGGCUGGAUUUGCGGCCGGAUUUGAGGCAAAGGCGAAACCAUUUCUUUCCAAAACCCUCAAACAAUCCAGCCAUCAAUCCGGCCAAGAGUUGGCCGGAUUUGCGGCCGGAUUUGGCCCUUGCUACUUUUUGCAAAAUUUUUCUUCUUUUCCGAGUUCGAUUGCCGCGCUCAACCGCACCUCCCACAUAUACACAUAUAUACUCAUCACACACACAAAUACACGUAAUAACAAGACCAAACAAAUGGUUAAUUUCACUUAAAAGGGAAAAUGAGAAUAAACCAAAAAGGCUGAGAAAAUAUGGAAGGUUUGGGGUUUUCACACCUACUCUAGUAAUGAAUCAACUAUAUUUGUAAUUAAGCCAUACCUACUUUCGUGGUUAUAAAAUUAACUACAAAUUCAUUUUUUCUAUGAAAUUAGUUGAAACAAGUCACUAAAACCACAAAGAUGCUCCUCUACUCUCGUGAGUGAACUCAUUAAGUUUAUCAUUUCCUUGAACUAGUAUUAAAUUCCAAUUCUCAUUCCAAACUUAACACCUUAAGAUUAUCACAAUUAAUGGUCGGUUAAUUAUGAUUAAAAAAGCAAAAGUGAUAAAUAACUUGUUCAAAAUAAUAUCACCAAAUAACCAAGUAAACAUCACUAACAAGAUAUAGAAAGUUUAUCCAUACUCUAGACAAAAACUUUAGCAAAACAUGAAAAUAAAUACCAAACUUGUAUUAUAGCUAAACAUAAAAUCAAAUACUCCCUCUGUCCCAUUAAAAGUGUCAUUCUUUCCUUUUUUUGCUGUCCCAAAAUAUUUGUCAUGUUUCUUAUUUUUAACUACUUUAUACUCUGAAAUUCCCUCCAUAUCCUUCAUUAAUUAUGCAUAAAGAAUACUAUAGCUUGGCCCACAAAAUGCUAUGGGUCCCACAAUCAUUCGUUUCACGACAAAGUGCAUUUUUUUUCUUAGUUGUAGGACAAAGUGUAUGGGUCCCACAAUCAUUGGUUUCAAGACAAAGUGCUUCUCUUUUCUCAGUUGCAGGACAAAGUGUGUAUCUUCUUUCUAUAAUUUUAAUUAAAGAUCUACAAAUUAAAAUUCACAUCUUUUUUUAUGAAAAAAUAAAAAUUCACAUUGGCACAAACGGAGUAAGAGAAGUAGCUCACACCUAUUACUCAAUUAAAAUGAUCCAGCCAAAGAGGAAAAAAAGGCAUCAGCAUACAAGAUUCAGCCAAAAACAUUCAGCCAAAAUGAUAUCAAGGCCUUUAGAUGGAGUACAUGCUUUACAAAAGUCACUUUACUAAAGUGAGAAAAAAUAUUUAAUUUACAAAUUGGUAAGCAUUUUUACUACUCCAAUCUUUUCACAAUUAAAGUACUUGCACUGUCGUGCCCCAUUUUUUAUAAGAAAAAUAAAUAAAUGGUUUUAAAAAGUGAAUUUUUUAUUUGAAAAAAAAAAUGGAAAAAUAUGGGUCUAAAUGGGACAUGAAAAUGCGACGAUUUGACCCAAAAUAUAGUUUAAAAAGGGUUUAUUGAAUGAAAAAUGGAGUCGCCACUUGGUAUAGAAUUAAGGUGUACCAAGUCACCUAAAAUGAGUUUUCAAAGGAAACAGUGGAAAAAACCCCUUUUAAACGACUCCUAGUCUACGUAAAUCAAAGAAAAAGGUUCGAGAGUCACAUUUGACGAAGGGGAAGGCAAGGAUGAAAUCCAAGGCACCCCUUCGACCUAGCCAACGCUAGUUGCGUGAUUUAGUCAAAGAUUUUCUUGUUUUAACCAAAGAAUUUAUCACAUUUGGAAUGUACUAUAUGAAUGCAAACCCUAGACCUAGGAGGGUAUCGGGGGCAAAAUUUCUCUUCAAAGCUUGAAUGGUGCUAAUCACAUUAAUUGUAAUGCCCAAUAAUGACUCUUUGGAGAGGUCACGAAUAAUGCAAAAAUAUGAGACUCUAAGAAAGGAAAAAAGAAUAAAAUAAUUAUACAAAUAUACAUGUCUUAGAGGAAUGCAUCAUGUCGGGUGCGGGGGACUAAUGUUCGUGACUCAAUUUUCCCUUUUAAUAGAGGGAAUACGAGCGUGCUAAGGCUAGAAAAGCCAAACUCGUCCAUAUCCCAUAUCCAAGGGGUUUUCCUAUAUAAUCAAGCGAAUGACUUAAUUCUAAUGCUUAUAUGAAAUGCAAGUCUAAUGUCAUGUUUCAUACAAAAGGGACAAGUAAUAUACAUAUAAUGGCAAAUAUGAGGGAAGGGGUAUUCAUAUAUAAGGAAAGUAUCAUGCAACAUGGUGAAAGAGGCCCUAGAAAGUGAAGAUAUGCAUGAGAUAAAAUGAUUUUAUUCACACAAUCAUGAUCUAUCGCGCGAAGGGUUCCUAAGGGCUAGCGUUGGACUAGCCCACAUCUACGCUCUCUCACAAGCAUUGGAUUUGCAAGAGCUCGAGGGGACAACCAUGACUAGCAUUGGACUAGCCACGGUUACGUGCAUUUGGAUCCAUCAUACACAUAUAUAAGUAAUGUGCCUAAUUAAAGCAAGUAGACAUGUGAGCACGUAAUUCACAUAACACAUAAGCAUGCAUAUCUAGAUGCCAAAACCUAAGAAAGCGAUUAAACACAUAGCACCUAAGCAUGCAAAACACAUAAGGCAAUUAAGGCCCUAACUAUUACAUUUUUAGGGGGGGAAGGCCUACUACACUCUAAUGGAAGAAAAUAAAAAAUAAAUAAAAUAAACCUAACUAUUAUAACUUGGCAUUCAAGUGCCUCCCAAAUGAUAAAAUUGAACUAAAAUUAAAGCAAAAACUAAGCAACUAAAGAAAUAAAUAAAGUGAAAAUGAAAUAAACACUUAAAGUCAUGCAAUUGCACACAUAAGACACAUAUACGCACGUAGGGUUAAAUAAAGUUAAAAAUAAAGGAUAGAGUGUACCUCCCUCGCAAUGGUAAGCAAAUGAAGGAAAAAUGGCUUCAAAACAAUAAAGGGGUCAAGGCACCAAUUAAAUAGUAAAGUGUAAACAAAAUCACCAAAUUCCUCCCAAUUGCAACUUGAAUGAAACCAAAUAAUGCAUAAUUUCCAAGAAAAGUAAAUUAUGGAUCAAAUUUCUAAAAUAGAAAACUACCAAGGACCCAAUUGCAAACAUUAACCAAUCAUUCAAGUCCAAACAAAACAUUUUGGGACUUCGAGGGUCUAAGAGCAAAGGAAAAGUCAAAUAAUGAUUGAAAUUGCAAUUAUGUUAGGACCUCAUUGCAAGAAAAUGGAACAUAAUUGGGCCUUCGUAGCAUAGAUGGGAGCUAAGGGGAGUGAAGUGCAUUUUAAAAACUACUUUUGCAUGCAAAAUCCAUGCAAAAAGCCACGAGAUAAAGCUUUCUGCAACAACAGGCAUUCAGCAGCUUAGGGAGCUUUCUUCUGCAAUUGCUUGUUGCAAGCUUUGCAGCUUCAACUCACGCCAAUAAAGUGCCAAACAUUGUACAAAUCUCAUUGUUUUAUUGACUUAACCCACACGUCUCCAAACAUCAAUUUUGACAGCAAGGAAAACAAAAAAAAUGCAGCAAAGAAAAACAUCAACAUUCACUUGAGAUGUCAACUCAAACAUCUGAGAAAACAUUUUAACUCUCGGACCAUGGAGCAAGUAAAGUUCUAGACCUCUACACGGGGAGCUCCAAGACAAUAUUAUGCAAACAUGAAGAGACUUAUGGUGAACAUGCUCGCGUCAAGAGGAAAUUAAGGGAUGAAACAACACUACUGAAAUGAAACGGUAAGUGGGCAACAAAUGAGAAGACGGACAGCAAUUUUCUUCAUAUAUUUGGGAGAACGGGAGACCAACAUGAUGAAACAGUCAUAACCCAAAAUGAUAUCUUUCAAUGCAACAAUGAAAGAAUGAAACUUAUGAGCUGCCGUGUGACAAGUUUAAGGACUGCAGACUCCAUGAACUGCAGACCGAACGUGAUUUGGACAAGAAAUGGUUUCAGCAAAUAUGGCAUUGACCAUUUUAUGCAACAAGGAAAAAACCUUAAGGCACGCGGGUACAGAACUAGAUCAUCAUAAGAGGCUUGCAAGCAAGGAAAAUCACAGAAAAUUCGAUCAUCACAAGCAUGCCAACUUCGGCAAGAUUUUUCUGCAUUUUCUGGGUUUCAUUACCAGGCAAGUAGGUCAUGCAAAUCAGUUUCUAAACUAGCAAAAAUGUGCAACUUAUACCCCUCACUUGAAUCCACCACCAACCUUGCGAAAACAUAAGCAAAACAGCAGCCAUGGAAACAUAAAAAAGAUAGCAAACAUGAUAAAACUCAUGAAGCCGAACCCGCGGCUAAAAAUGACUCAAGGUUCGUGUCCCAUCGAAUUGUAUUCUCAUGAAAGGGACUCACCAAAGCAAUAAAGGAGGAAACUAUGGUUACCUGAGAGUGUUCUGAACCCGGAUGAAUGCAAGGAGUGGCAAGAAAGUCGUGCAGAAUGGAACCAAAGAAAUUUCGUCGCCGCAAAGGAAAACGCUGAUGAGCCCGCGACUUGGAGCUUCAAUUUGGCCCUUUUAGAGUUGUUAUCCCUGAGCUCUUCCUGAACGAAAUUUCCUCCGUUGCAGUCUAGGAUAUUGCAGAAACGAAGAAACCUUCCUAAAAGCCUGAGAUACAAUCGAAAAUUGGAAAUAAAGUGGGCUGAUGAAUCAGCCUAAAAUGGGUUUUGUUUGCAGAAAAUUUCUGCACUUUUGCUUUCCGAUUCUUUUUCACUUUUCCUUUGCUAUUUUCCUUCCUUUCCUGUUCUCCCCUUUCCUCUCUCAAUCACUCUUUCCGCUACCCUUCUCUUCCUCAGCCGUUACGUAGCUCUUUUCCUCAGUUUUUCUGCUUUCUUCCGUUGCCCGCAUCUCUCUAUCUCAGAUUUCUCUAGCUACCCAGAAUCCUCUCCCUUCAGAUUUUUCAGCCGUCAGUCCUCUCCGUUUCUUUUCCUUAGCCUAACCGUCAAAAGCCUCCUGCCUUUUCGCUCAACUCAGCCGCCCACCUCUGCCGCAACUCUCUUCAUUUCGGAUCCUCACUUGGCCAGCCCCCCAGAAACUUAGCCCGUAGCUACCUCCCUCUCGUUCUCCUUUUCCAGCCGCCGUUAUCCUCACUCUCAGCCGUCACUCUUGGUUCCUCACUCUGCCCGAAAGCUCUCCAGUUUCCCUUCUUCCUCUCGAUCUCUCCUUUUUCCUUUCGCCGCCUAAAACCCUUCCUUUCCUUGCUAUCUGUCCUCUCUCCCUUAGCUCCCUUUAGCCGUCAACUCUAUAAAACCAAGCUCUCCCCCUUUUUAGUUUCUCUCAGCCGUCACUCUUUUUUUUUUCAAAACCCUCGCAUUUCUCUCCUUUAUAUAGGCAUCCGAAACCCCCCGUAACCUAAGACCAAGGGAGGAGAUUUGGAGCUGCAUCUUGAGUCUCCCUAUCAAACCAUCAGAUGGCAUUUGAUUUUUGUACCUUUUUAUGUUGUUGAAUCAAGACCAAGUGAUCAUGUACUGGAUUGAUCCAACGGAGCAACAAGAAUCAAUGGAGGAUGGGAUGUAUUUCCGUGCAUGAUUUCUGCUUGAAAUGAGAUACGGAGAGAUGGCUAGGAUCCUAUGCAAUUAAGGUGUAUGAGCUUGGUUUUCUUUUUCCUUUUUCUUUUUUCUUUUUUUUCCUUUUUUUUUAAAAUUAGUUAAACAACAAAAAUUAAUUAUUAAUAGAAAAUUUAUUGCGAUUAAAGUGCUUUAAAUCCAAAUCUAAAGGGCUAAAACAAAUUUUUAAUUUUUGUGAGGAUUUUUCCUUUUUCCUCCUUUUCCAAUUAUCAAACAAUAAACUUAAAUAUAAAAGAAAUAGAACAUAUAUUUUUUGAACCAUUUUCUUUUCCGACGAAUCUCAAUACUAAAAAGUCUUAAAAAUAAAUUAAACGACUAAAUGAGCAACAAUAAAUAAAUAAAAAAAAUAAAAAACUAGAAUAAAAAUAAUAAAUAAUAAUAGUAAUCUAAAAUACAAUAAAAUGCUAAAAAAUGCCUGAAACAAAAAAAAUCAUGAGAUUAGUAAAUAAAAAUAGAUGAUAAAAAUAAGAACAAGAAUAAAUUAAAAUUUGGUGUCUACAGGCACCAUCAAGUUCAAAAGGUUUGAAUUUUUAGACUUUAAGUCCCUGCAAGUAAAAUGAGAAAAAACUUGAGUUAGUCAAGACAACAAAUAAAGAUGCACAUAAUUGAGAAUAUCAAAAGAAUCAAUCUAAAAAACAAUAAAAUAUGAAUUGCCAUAUCCAAUAACUCAACCUAUAUUUCUAAUAAGUAAACAACCAUAGAUACGCAUUAAGUAAACAAGAAUAACUUACCAAUUUUCAUAGAUACGCAUCUUUAUGAAUUGCCAUAUCAAUAUUCCAUAGAUACGCAUUAAGUAAACAAGAAUAACUGAUCAAAAGAAAGAUUGAGUCCUUUUUUACAUUUUGCAAAAUCCAAGCACUUAUACUGUCGAGUACCAAUAAAUAAGAAGAUAAAGAAUAUAGGUAAGUGUAAACUACCAUAAAUAUAAGAUGCAAAAUCCAACCACUUGUACUGUCAUUUACUUGUAAAAACCUGAUUAGUAUACUUUAGUACCUAUAUAAAGAAGAAAAAAAAACAAAAGUUAGUGUAAACAACCAUAACAAAGAAGUAGGGACCAUAAACUGUAAAGCACAAACUAGUUUUGCAUAUAAGUGAACCUGUCCAAUGAAACCAUCUUCAUGCUUGUAUAUGACUUUGAACUUGGUUAACGAGUUUUUUUUCACAUUCAAUUUGCAGAGGAAGAGAACCAUCUUUCAUUAAACGAUACUUUCCAAUGUGCGGCACUUUGUAAUUGUUUCCCCCUAAGUUCUUCAUCACCUCUACCAUACAUGAUUGCAGUGUUAAGAAAACAUUGUUGAGACUUUCAGUUGAUAGUUGAUCAAAUGAUUUUUCAACAACAAGGAUUAGCCCAUCAAUUGUUUUGGGCGCUUCUUGAUGUUGAAGUGAUUGUAUGGCCCUAAAAUAUCCUAAAUCAAGAACAUUCAUGUCCAGGCUAUUAGGAGGCUGAAAUAACAAGUGAAUAUCAAAUCCAUCCAUUGAAGUAGCCUUAAUAAAUUCAAAAUCCAUGGAAUUAAUAUGUGGCUUGGCAUUAUCUUGUUGGAUGAAAAUUUCAGUACCAUUUUCAUGUAGCCAUUUACUGCAUAUUGCAGGCAAAACCUAUUCAAUUAGGCAUCUUCUAUACACCUCUUUAGUCACUGACAAUAUUAGCUUCGUUUCUAAUGUACCAGCAAUCCGAUUUUUACUAUUCCUUUUUGCCGGCUCUUUUAGUACAAAAGGAAAAAUACCAAUUUUGCCAUCAAAUUCUCAGUAGUAAGAGCAAUCAAACCGAGGUUUAGCUACAGCAGCUAGAAACAUAACCUUUGCAAUGAAUUUUUUGCCCUUACAUGUUCGAAGAGGUUGCUCUUCCUCAGGAUGAAGAUAGCACCUUUUGGAUUUUUUAGUCAUAUAAAACCAGUUUUCAUCAACAUGAACAACAUUAAACAUACUCCUAAAAAAUUGCUUUAGUAUUGAGACUUUCAGAUUCAAGCAUUGACCAGCAAAAUCGAAGUCUUACUUGCUUAUUUUCAUCCAUCAACUGUGGUUCCAAUGCAUUUGAAUGCGGUCUAAUAGCACCUUCUUUAAUUCGUCGAUGAAGAGUUGACUUAGCCACUUUCAUUUCACUAGAGAGAGCACGAAUGUUUGUUCAGCGGCGAAGAGGAAUUGUCAUAACCGAGGUGAAAUCUAUUUCCACUCAUUUCCGUCCAGGUGUUUUUGGAAAUCUCCGAGUUACAUCAACUACUCCUCCAUUUGCAAAAGAGACUGCCGCUCGUUUCCAAAUCCUACUAACAGUUAUGACAUUUAUCUAGAAUAAGUCUGCAACAUUCUUAAUUGUCCCUCUUCUCAAUUUUCCACCAUCACUAUACUGCAAGAGAGUUUCAAAAAUGGAUUGCCUUCCUUCAUUAGUUAAUCUCUUUAUACGAUUGCAGGAAGUUUCAAUGUCAUCAAGCAUAUCCAUUUUUCUUUAAAAAGUCACCAACGAAACAGAGCAUACUACUCAUAUUUAUAUACAGAGUAGAACUAGGAGUGAGUAGUCGUAGUCCUUAGUUAACAAAAUUUUAAAAUAUGCAAUUCAAUUUUUAGAAAUCCGCCAACUUGCAAAAUUUUUCGACCAAUUUGGCGGUAAAUCUUAAAAGAAACCAGAAAUUAUAAUUAAGCAAGACAAGAAUUAACGCCCUCUUGACAUGAACCCAAAAAAAGAAAGAAUAAAAACAAAUCAUAACAAGAGAAUAAAAAAACCUCAAUCUUGAUAUAUUUUGAUUAGAUGGAUAAUCCAAAUAUAAGUAGUGCAAAUUAGACGAACCUUUAUUGAAGACUUGAAUCCCAUAGAGUUUUCAUCUCUUCCUUAAGCAUCAGCGUCAACUUGUUGUCGAAAGUUAGGUAGAGCAACGUUUUAAGGAUUUAUUAGCAAAAGAUGGAAGAAAUUUAGGAAGUGGAGAAGUAAAAGACGAUGAAAUUUUCUUGCGGUAAGAAAGUUUGUAGCUUGUGAUCUGAAGAAUUGUCACUUGUCACAUUAAUGUCUCCGGAAGAUGUGUUUGUAUCAGAUAAAAGUAGCGGUAAUAGGCAAAAGUGGAGUGUAGUGUGCAUAAGGGCAAAAGUGGAAAAAAAGAAAAAAAUUUUUGGUGGAGUGUACUAUGCAUAAAAAGCACAUAUUCCCAAAUACAACCAAAUAUAUGGGAUGGAGAGAGUACAAAAGAGAAAGUGAUAGGAGAGAAGUCACAAAUGUCACAUGAGUUUCAAACUCUCUAUCUUUGUUCUUCAAAUCUUCAUCCAAAUCUAAUUACAAAUACAAGAAUGAAAAGUUACACUAACUAUACUAUACUACUUUAACUAAUGAACUAAGGAAAUUUUAGUGAAAACUACAUUUUUUAUGAGUUUCUCUAGCCUUCCAAAAUUGUGAAAAUGGUCUCCAAAGGCUACUAUUUAUAGAGCAUUUAAGCUCAAGGUGAGUUGCUUUUUGGUUGGUAAAGUUGGCUUUUGAACUUACUAAGAGUUAUUCUCCAAAUUUCCACACUAUUCUUGGUUAGCUACAGCCCAAAUUUUGAGUUGUAGACGAGUUGGAAAGGUUGUGUGAAUGCAAAACAAGUUGCAAAGCAAGUUUCAACAGAAAAACUAGAAUACGCGACCUUGGCUCGUGUAUUGUAUCCCACAUAUUGCCUUUUGCAGGUUUGUUCAAUAUUGGACAGAUUUCAUCAUUGUUCCGUUUUUGGUCCAACUUCAACUAAUAUUUUCUUACUGGUAGAGGCUGAAUUAACUCUUGUAUAAAUCAUGAAAGUUGUAGCCCUUUAAGUUAGUUCUGUGGACCAAAAACAAAGAAAUGACCAAAAUACCCUCAAUUGGUCAGAACUCUGUUUUAGCUUUCGACAAUGAAAUUGCACUUCUAUAUUUCGACAUUUUAACAACUAAACUGGAUUUUGAUAUCUUCAUAUUAAAUGUAGAUAUAUUUCUUAGUUUCAAAUGGUUGAAGAAUCACCUCAUUCCAAUGCUUGUAACUCAAGAUAUAACCGAAAUAUCACAAGGUGUCAAAGCUGGAAAACUUGCAUUUCAUCCUUUGAGUAUUUUGCACUUUAUGUUUUCUUUAAAUUACUUCAAGUCAUCAUCAAUUAUCCAAUUAUCUUCUCAAUUCAUGUUAUUGAUGAUUGAAUUAUUAAACCUAUAAAGACAUGAAAUUUUCACCAUUAAAAUCCAUAAAAAUAUAAUUUUCACACUUUAAACCACAAAAUACAUAUUUUUACUGGAAACUUAGUAAAUUAGCUAUAAAAGUAGGUAAAACACACAAACACUAACUAAUAAGAUACACUAAAAAUAAUUUAAAAUAUGCACUUAUCAAUAAUCAUCAAUUCAAUCAAAAAAAAUUUCAGAGUCACUUUUUUGAUGCCAUGCAGACAGGCCGAAUCUCAUGCCUGAAGCACGUGAUCAAAUUUGCCAAAGUCCAGCCUCACAUAUUUGGGCUCUAGGCAGGCCGCCCUCAAGUAGACCUAUCUCCGUCAGCUCGGCUUCGGGCUUCAGCUCGUCCAGAUCCGACCCAAUUUUCGGUUCUAAAACCGCCUUAAUCCUCGAGAGUCUAAUCUAUCCAUCAGUUUUGAACCCAAAACCCGAGAGCGUGGGUUCAUUCCUAUUUCCUCUCGUCCAGAGAGGUGUUUCGCGCUCUCCACUCUCUGAUUACUUUAUCUCUAAAAACCCUAGAAACCGAUUUCCUGCUCGAUACUGAAAUUCAAUUCCCCGAUUGUUGUCGAGGUAGUCUCCAAUUAGGGUUUGUUCGUAGAUGCAGUAGAGAAAUAUGUGGGGCGGAAAUCCGCAAGAUAUGUGGGGAAACAGUGGUAAUAGCGACGGUAAUGGUGGAAAUAUGGCUGCGCCGCCUCCUCCAGGCAUACCUCCACCGUUAAUGCCACCGGGGACUAGUGGAGGAGCUGGACCUACUGGUCCGCCUCCUCUUCCACCUCCGCCUUCUUAUACUGUUUUGCCGACGGAGGCACAGCUCGAGGAGAAAGCUCGGAAAUGGAUGCAGCUUAACUCGAAGAGGUAUAGCGACAAGAGGAAGUUUGGUUUUGUCGAAACGCAGAAGGAGGACAUGCCGCCAGAGCAUGUGAGGAAGAUUAUUAGGUCAGUUUAUUUUUCUUUAAUUAGUAAAAUAUAUCGUUUGCUCUGGUUAUUUAGUUAUUUUAUUAGAUUGGUUUUUUGGUCAAUGCAAGUACUGUUAAUUGUUGUUUGAUGGAUCCUGGAGGGCUGAAAUGUGUAAUCGUUGUUUUUAAUCAGUCAAUUGCUUCGAAUAUUUGCUUUGUCUGCCGGGCUACUUUCUUCAUUUUUUUUGUUUUCCAAUUAGGAACUCUUUUGACCUGGGUUUUGAUUUAUAAGGAAUUGUUGUCUUUUAGUUGAAUUAUUUCUUAGAGGAUUUGGGAUGGUCAAAUGUCUAAUUAAGUCCUGGGUCCAAGUUUGUUAAUUGUUCUCAAAAAAGAUCACGAGGCACGAGUGUAGCAAGGUGGAUUCUGGAAUUAUUGUACGAGUUUUGGGUUAAGGUCUUUGGUUUCCACAUAUGCUUGGGAUUUUGGUGUUCCACAAUGAGUUCAUUGAGGUAGGUUUAGUCGGCCUCUGUUUACAUGUGAUAUGGAGCUGUAAUGCACAUUGACGAAAUUGCCUUUUAAAUAAAUAAACGCAAUUCUUAGAUGGUGGCUUGCAAGAAAUCGUCUGACUUCUAGAAUUGAAGUUCCAUCCUGAUUCUUUUUCCAAAAGUCUGUCAUGUAAGAAGUUGAUAGCGUUUGGUUAUACAUUUAUACUACUCAAUCUUACUUAUUUUAGAUAUGCUCUAAUAAUUAUAAGGUUGGGAGGAUUCAAACUGCUUUUUCUUCUAAGAGUUUUGAUAUCUUUAAUAUCCACAUGUCUAUUUUGUAUCAAAACUUUCAAUGUAUUGAUUGGGGUUUUUUAUGCAAAAGUACUGCUGCCUACUUAUGUGUUUCAGGUUUUGCAUAAUUUAUGAAGCUGGAGUGAUUCCAUUCGAAUUUCCAUCAUUUGAUCUUAGCCUAACCUGGAGAUCAUAGUAGCUUAAACUUGUGUUUGACUAUAGGAAGUUGAUAUAUUUAUUUGCUUUUCCAAAUUAUGUUACUGUUUUCAUGUCCACAAGAACUCUUGUAAUGUUAAUACUUUUUUCAUGUCCACCAGAACACUGCCGGAACUUAUUAUGUUAUUUUUUUCAUGUCCACUACUUGAGUAAAUUAAUACCUUUAUGAGCAUGAUUGUUAUCUAUUAAUGACUGUAUGACAGCAAUGCUUUGUCUGGUGAUGUUGCUUUCUUGAUAUUUGCUACAUGUAUGUAGGAUUUAAUGUUUUUUCUUACCUAGUGGAAUUUUGGCUUUUUCAUUGGUUUUUAUCAAGAAUACCUAUUUUUAAUUAGUUUGAGCAGCUUCUAUCUGAACAAUUUCAAUUGCUAAAUCUUGAUAGUCUUUUUCUCUACUAAUUAGAUACUGAUCUGUGUGCUUUACCGAACUUAAAUGUCAUUUUACUGUAAUAAAUGGUCUGGGUUUUCAUUAUCGGUCUUUUACGUAUUAAACUGUCUUGGACUUCGUACAGAGAUCAUGGUGACAUGUCCUCAAAAAAAUAUCGUCAUGAUAAACGUGUCUAUCUUGGAGCUCUUAAGUUUGUUCCGCAUGCUGUGUACAAGCUUCUUGAGAACAUGCCAAUGCCUUGGGAACAGGUACCAAGCACAUGUCUGCUUAAUGAAUUUCAACUUUUAAUCUUGUUUGGUUGCUUUGAGACAUUCUGUCUUGAUCUCUAUUGCUAUAUGUAUUUGUAGGUCCGUGAUGUGAAGGUCUUGUACCAUAUAACUGGAGCUAUUACAUUUGUCAAUGAAAUACCAUGGGUGGUUGAGCCCAUUUAUCUAGCACAGGUAUAUUAUCUGACUUUAAGAUUCCAUUCUGGUCUUCUUUCUAUAAAUUUUCUUAAGGUUCUGUACAUUUCAGUGGGUUGUAGUGUUGGAAAACCCUGUACUUUUCCCUUUACUUCUUUGAUCUUUUCCAUUUUACACAUUUACUUGGCUCCUUUGGUAUUUUUGUGACUUUGUUCCAAACUUUUCUGCAGUGGGGUACGAUGUGGAUAAUGAUGCGGCGGGAGAAGAGAGAUCGGCGACACUUCAAGAGGAUGCGCUUUCCUCCAUUCGAUGAUGAGGAGCCUCCUCUUGAUUACGCCGAUAAUCUGUUGGAUGUGGACCCAUUGGAGCCAAUUCAGUUAGAGUUAGAUGAGGAAGAAGAUUCUGCUGUGUAUACUUGGUUUUAUGAUCAUAAGCCUCUUGUAAAAACUAAGCUUAUAAAUGGCCCUAGUUAUCAAAAAUGGCAUUUGUCCCUUCCAAUCAUGGCAACACUUCACCGUCUUGCUGGACAGCUUCUCUCUGAUCUGAUUGAUCGCAACUAUUUCUACCUAUUUGAUAUGGAGUCAUUUUUUACUGCCAAAGCACUGAACAUGUGCAUUCCUGGUAUUUGUCUGCCUAAUAUGACUUCUAGUUUCCAGCAGUUGGAGAUAUUUGUGAAAAUUUAGACCCCAUCUUCUGUCAACUCAUGUACUUGCAUGUGUUUAUUUCUUCUCUUGAUUUUCUUUUCUUCAGUAACUCUUUAGCUUAUUUUUCUUCAGGCGGCCCAAAGUUUGAACCUUUGUAUCGGGACAUGGAAAAAGGAGAUGAAGACUGGAAUGAGUUUAAUGAUAUAAACAAGCUUAUCAUCAGGUCACCUCUAAGGACAGAGUACAGAAUUGCAUUCCCUCAUCUGUAUAACAACAGACCCCGGAAGGUGAAGCUUGGAGUGUAUCACACCCCUAUGGUUAUGUACAUAAAGACAGAGGAUCCUGAUCUUCCUGCAUUUUACUAUGAUCCUCUAAUUCACCCCAUAACUAGCUCCAAUAAGGAUAGACGGGAGAAGAAGAAUUAUGAAGAGGAGGAGGAUGAUGACUUUUCUUUGCCUGAAGGGGUUGAACCAUUGCUCAAAAGUACUCCCAUAUAUACUGAUACUACUGCUGCAGGUAUAUCACUUCUGUUUGCACCACGACCUUUUAACAUGAGAUCAGGUCGUAUGCGCCGUGCUGAAGACAUACCUCUUGUGUCUGAGUGGUACAAGGAACACUGGUGAGUUAUGGUAAUUAUGGUUCUGGCACAUUGCUUUUCCACUAGCUGUGGUUGUCAAUUGUCCUUACUUUUUCUUGCUGUACAUUUUGCAGUCCUCCAUCAUAUCCUGUCAAAGUUCGUGUGAGUUAUCAGAAGUUGUUGAAAUGUUUUGUGUUAAAUGAGCUGCAUCAUAGGCCGCCUAAGGCUCAGAAAAAGAAGCACCUGUUUCGUUCUCUUGCAGCCACAAAGUUUUUCCAAACCACAGAACUUGAUUGGGCUGAAGCUGGUCUCCAAGUUUGUAAGCAGGGUUACAAUAUGUUGAAUCUGUUGAUUCACAGGAAAAAUCUGAAUUACCUUCAUCUUGACUAUAAUUUCAACUUGAAACCUGUGAAGACUCUCACAACAAAGGAGCGCAAGAAGUCUCGUUUUGGUAAUGCUUUUCAUCUUUGUCGUGAAAUACUUAGACUGACAAAGCUUGUAGUGGAUGCAAAUAUCCAGUUCCGGUUAGGAAAUGUGGAUGCAUUUCAGUUGGCAGAUGGCUUGCAAUACAUAUUUUCACAUGUUGGGCAGUUGACGGGUAUGUACAGAUAUAAAUACAGGCUCAUGCGGCAGAUACGGAUGUGCAAGGAUUUGAAACACUUGAUUUAUUACCGAUUUAAUACUGGGCCUGUUGGGAAAGGACCUGGAUGUGGUUUCUGGGCACCUAUGUGGAGAGUGUGGUUAUUCUUCCUUCGUGGAAUAGUGCCUCUUCUGGAGCGGUGGUUGGGGAACCUACUGGCAAGACAAUUUGAGGGACGGCAUUCUAAAGGGGUUGCUAAAACUGUUACCAAACAGCGUGUUGAAAGCCAUUUUGACUUGGAACUUCGUGCUGCUGUGAUGCAUGAUGUUCUUGAUGCCAUGCCAGAGGGCAUUAAGCAAAAUAAGGCAAGAACGAUCUUGCAGCAUCUGAGUGAAGCAUGGCGUUGUUGGAAAGCCAAUAUUCCCUGGAAAGUGCCUGGUCUGCCUGUGCCAAUUGAGAACAUGAUUCUUCGCUAUGUCAAGUCAAAAGCUGAUUGGUGGACAAAUGUUGCUCAUUAUAAUCGUGAACGUAUACGAAGAGGUGCAACUGUGGACAAAACAGUCUGUCGGAAGAAUCUUGGAAGAUUGACCCGUCUUUGGUUGAAAGCUGAGCAGGAACGUCAGCAUAAUUAUCUAAAAGAUGGUCCAUAUGUGACACCGGAAGAAGCAGUGGCCAUAUACACUACCACUGUGCACUGGUUGGAGUCCAGAAAAUUCUCACCUAUUCCAUUUCCUCCCUUGUCAUACAAGCAUGAUACAAAACUACUUAUCCUUGCCCUUGAAAGGUUGAAAGAAUCUUAUAGCGUGGCUGUCAGGUUAAAUCAACUACAAAGAGAAGAGUUGGGUCUCAUUGAACAAGCUUAUGAUAACCCACAUGAGGCCUUGUCACGGAUUAAGCGUCAUCUUCUGACCCAACGUGCCUUCAAAGAAGUUGGCAUCGAGUUCAUGGAUUUAUACAGUUACUUGAUACCUGUGUAUGAGAUUGAACCGCUUGAGAAGAUCACAGAUGCAUAUCUAGACCAAUAUCUAUGGUAUGAAGGUGACAAGCGCCAUCUGUUUCCCAAUUGGAUAAAGCCAGCGGAUUCAGAACCUCCACCACUAUUGGUCUAUAAAUGGUGUCAGGGUAUAAAUAACUUGCAAGGCAUAUGGGAUACAAGUGAAGGUCAAUGUGUUGUGAUGCUUCAAACCAAAUUUGAGAAAUUCUUUGAAAAGAUUGAUUUGACUAUGCUAAAUAGACUUCUUCGCUUGGUUCUGGACCAUAAUAUUGCUGAUUAUGUCACGGCCAAGAACAAUGUCGUGCUGUCUUACAAGGACAUGAGUCAUACCAACUCUUAUGGUCUUAUUCGUGGUCUGCAAUUUGCUUCCUUUGUCGUACAGUACUAUGGCUUAGUGCUCGAUCUUUUACUUCUUGGUUUAACUAGAGCCAGUGAAAUCGCUGGUCCACCACAGAUGCCUAAUGAGUUUAUCACUUACUGGGACGCUAAAGUGGAGACACGACACCCCAUAAGAUUGUACUCCCGUUACAUUGAUAAGGUGCACAUAUUGUUUCGGUUCACUCAUGAAGAGGCACGGGACCUUAUCCAACGGUACCUUACUGAGCAUCCUGAUCCCAACAAUGAGAAUAUGGUUGGUUAUAACAACAAGAAGUGCUGGCCAAGGGAUGCACGCAUGAGGCUCAUGAAACAUGAUGGUGAUUUUUUUAAUUGAAUGUUGUACUGGAUUUCUUUCUUUACAGUUCUUCUAUAAUUGUUUUAUAUUGUGAUCUGUAUACUCAAUUAUUGUUUGCUUAAUCUUAUGAUGCAGUCAAUCUUGGGAGAAGUGUGUUUUGGGACAUGAAGAAUCGUCUUCCCAGAAGUAUCACCACAUUGGAGUGGGAGAACAGUUUUGUCUCUGUUUACAGCAAAGAUAAUCCCAACUUGCUUUUUAGCAUGUGCGGUUUCGAGGUUCGUAUACUGCCAAAGAUAAGGAUGAGUCAGGAAGCAUUUAGCAAUACAAGAGAUGGGGUUUGGAACUUGCAGAAUGAGCAGACUAAAGAGCGUACUGCAGUUGCUUUCUUACGUGUUGAUGAUGAGCACAUGAAAGUUUUCGAGAAUCGUGUAAGGCAGAUCCUUAUGUCAUCAGGUUCUACAACAUUCACCAAGAUUGUCAACAAAUGGAAUACAGCUUUGAUAGGUACUAAGUACAGUCCCUUGGUCUUUAGUUAUGCUUUUCCAAAAUGACAUUUACUGCUAUCUUGUGCUACCAUCUGCUGAAGCACUUUAAUAUUGAUAUCACAGGUCUGAUGACAUAUUUCCGUGAAGCCACUGUGCAUACACAGGAAUUGUUAGAUUUACUGGUCAAAUGUGAAAAUAAAAUUCAGACCCGUAUUAAGAUUGGGUUAAAUUCAAAAAUGCCAAGCAGGUAAGAUUAUUCAUGUCAGUUAUUUUUCCACUGCUUUCUAAAUUAUGCUGUAUACUUGUUCUAAAAUAAUGAUCUCCAUUGUAGGUUUCCUCCUGUAAUCUUUUACACACCAAAAGAAAUUGGGGGAUUAGGGAUGUUGUCAAUGGGUCACAUAUUGAUUCCACAGAGUGAUCUCCGAUAUAGUCAGCAGACAGAUGUAGGUGUAACACAUUUCAGGAGCGGAAUGAGUCAUGAAGAAGACCAGUUGAUUCCAAAUCUUUAUCGUUACAUACAGGUAUGUUGACUGCAUUGGCUGCCAUGCUUUUUAUUCUGUAUUUCUUUGAAUAAAUUGGCCUAAUCUCUGCCUUAAUGUAACAGCCUUGGGAGAGUGAAUUCAUUGAUUCGCAACGAGUUUGGGCUGAAUAUGCUUUAAAGAGACAAGAGGCGCAGGCACAGAAUAGACGUUUGACUCUUGAAGAUCUUGAAGUAAGUGUUACUGCUGAUUGAUUGGAAUGCAUUUUCUUUUGCUUGUGUUAUCUAAGGGUGAAUAAAAGAUGUUAGAUGAAAUAAUCUGGGCGUUAGUACUGUUGUAUCCUUUGCCUUGGUUAAGAUGGAUUAAUUAGUUAGGUAGUUCUUGGACAGAGAAUUGAGUGAUUUAGUUUGAAGUAUGGGCCAGUUAAUUAUUGUUUUUAAAAAAGAAGGCAAAUAUAGGUGUGGAAGGCUUUAUUCAAACUUUUUUCUUUACUCUUUAACAUUUAUCAUUUUAUUUAUAGGAUUCAUGGGACCGUGGAAUUCCUCGAAUCAACACUUUGUUUCAGAAAGAUAGACACACCCUUGCAUAUGACAAAGGAUGGAGAGUGAGAACAGAUUUUAAGCAAUAUCAAGUUCUGAAGCAGAAUCCAUUCUGGUGGACCCACCAGAGGCAUGAUGGAAAGCUAUGGAACUUGAACAAUUAUAGGACUGACGUUAUUCAAGCACUUGGAGGAGUUGAAGGAAUUCUGGAGCACACUUUAUUUAAAGGAACUUAGUAAGUGUCAUUGCAUGUCUUCCUUUGGCUAUUUGGGUCUCAUUGCUUUCUAAAUGAGUUCUAAAGAAGAAGAUUCUGACAAAGCAGUUUACAUUUUUUGCAUCAAAAGUAAAGAAACAAGUAUUUCUAUAUUUCAUUGUCUAGUUGCUGCUCCCUCCGUCCCAAAAAGUUUGUCGCACUUCGGGACUUGCAAUUAUUAUCAACAGUGCAAGACUUUUAAAUGAUUUGGAUUUAAGUUCCGUUAAUACCCCGCUUGACUUUCAAUGUAUUCAUACGUGGUUGAAUGAUAAAAGGGCCACUAGGUGUGAUAAGACGUGGGACUCAAAAGAAUGAAAUGUCUCCGGACUGCUUUAGAGGAAAGUGUCAUGCACGAGUGUUAUUUGCAUUUCACGUGGGAGUCACGCACUAUUGAGUGCAGUGUUUGUACUUGGUAAGUGCAUAAUUGGGCCCACUAAAAGAUAAAAAAGGGCUGUCACAUUAAAGGGUAUGGAACGGAGAUGUAUGAAAGUUUUCAUUGCCAAUUUUGGUAAGUGACAAUCAUUUUGGGACAGAUAAUAACGGAAAGCAUGACAACUUCAAUGGGAUGGAGGGAGUAUUAUGCUAGAAACUUGUAUUUCAUUAAAUUGCUUAGCCCAUCUGGAAGUACUUCUCUUACUCCUUGUGCUCAAAUAUAUUGAGCAGUUGAUUUCUAAUAUGUCUCAGCAAGCUGGAUAGCCUUAGUACAUUUUUAGUUAGACUGUAUAUAUUGUUGUUCUUGGACUGGGUCUAAUUUCUUAUCUUUUCGUUUCAGCUUCCCUACUUGGGAGGGUCUCUUCUGGGAAAAGGCAUCAGGUUUUGAAGAAUCCAUGAAGUAUAAGAAGCUGACCAAUGCACAAAGAUCUGGGCUUAAUCAAAUUCCUAAUCGUAGAUUUACACUUUGGUGGUCACCUACAAUAAAUCGAGCAAAUGUUUAUGUUGGUUUCCAAGUGCAGCUGGAUUUGACAGGGAUAUUUAUGCAUGGAAAGAUCCCAACUUUGAAGAUAUCUCUAAUACAGAUUUUCCGUGCACACUUGUGGCAGAAGAUUCAUGAAAGUGUUGUGAUGGAUCUUUGCCAGGUCUUGGAUCAAGAACUUGAUGCAUUGGAAAUUGAGACAGUGCAGAAGGAAACAAUCCAUCCAAGGAAAAGCUAUAAAAUGAACAGCUCGUGUGCUGACAUUCUUUUAUUUGCAGCCCAUAGGUGGCCUAUGUCAAAGCCUAGUCUUGUGGCUGAGUCAAAGGAUGUGUUUGAUCAGAAGGCUAGCAAUAAAUAUUGGAUAGAUGUUCAACUUCGUUGGGGUGAUUAUGACUCUCAUGACAUUGAGAGGUAUACAAGGGCAAAAUUUAUGGAUUACACAACAGAUAACAUGUCUAUAUAUCCUUCACCCACUGGUAUGUCAACAAAAAUUUAUUGCUAUCUUCUUUUUUUUUUAAAAAAAAAAAUCAAUCUUAAUAUGUUAUUUUUCUCUUCACAGGGGUUAUGAUUGGAAUUGAUCUUGCUUACAACCUGCAUUCUGCCUUUGGUAACUGGUUCCCUGGCUCUAAACCGUUGCUUGCUCAGGCCAUGAACAAAAUCAUGAAGGUGCUUUGAAUUUUGGACUCUAGUUAGAUCUUGUUAGGAUUUUAUUUUCAUUUGAUUCAUUAAUGAUAGUGUUCUUGCAAAGAUCGCUAACUGGCUUCUUGUUUUAUGCAGUCAAAUCCUGCUUUAUAUGUUCUGAGGGAACGGAUAAGGAAAGGUUUGCAAUUGUAUUCUUCAGAGCCAACAGAGCCAUACCUGUCAUCUCAAAACUAUGGUGAAAUCUUCAGUAACCAGAUAAUCUGGUUUGUUGAUGACACUAAUGUCUACAGAGUGACCAUCCACAAGACAUUUGAAGGCAAUCUCACGACGAAACCCAUCAAUGGUGCCAUCUUCAUUUUCAAUCCGAGGACAGGACAGCUAUUUCUUAAGGUUUGUUGUUUGACAUUUGCUCUAUUUGGAUUGUAAAUUAUUUGAGAUAUUUUUACUGUAGCACUUUUUGUGAUGUGAUGUAUGUGAGAUAAAAAAGUAAUUGGGAAGAUAAAAAGGUGUGUUGAAAAUGGUAAUGAUGAUGUAAGUAAAUAAAUUUUGGCAAAUAAUCCUCUAUCCAAACAAAGCGAUUAUUUCUUGUGGUCUUCGCUUUGAUCUUCUGGUAUCAGACUGAUGUUUACUUCUGCAGGUUAUUCACACGAGUGUUUGGGCUGGGCAAAAGCGUUUAGGGCAGCUGGCCAAGUGGAAGACUGCUGAAGAAGUGGCUGCCCUGGUGCGUUCUUUACCGGUGGAAGAACAGCCAAAGCAGAUAAUUGUCACUCGGAAGGGAAUGUUGGAUCCCUUGGAGGUUCACCUACUGGAUUUUCCUAAUAUUGUCAUUAAAGGAAGUGAGCUUCAGCUGCCAUUCCAAGCAUGCUUGAAAAUUGAAAAAUUUGGUGAUCUGAUCCUGAAAGCCACAGAACCACAAAUGGUCUUGUUCAACAUCUAUGAUGAUUGGCUUAAAAGUAUUUCUUCGUACACGGCUUUCUCCAGAUUGAUCUUGAUCUUGCGCGCACUUCAUGUAAACAAUGAAAAGGCAAAGAUGUUACUGAAGCCAGACAAGACAAUUGUUACUGAACCGCAUCAUAUUUGGCCCUCUCUUACAGAUGAUCAGUGGAUGAAGGUAAAUUUACUUUACCGAAACAAUUCCCCUAAUAAAAAAAGAAAUAAAGAAUAGAAAGACAACCCAAGGCCCAAUUAAAAAAAAAAAAGAAAAAGAAAAUGACAAUAGUUGUAGUAGAAAGAGGGUUCCCCUCUGGACCUUUUCUUUGAAUCAAAUUGAGGAUGGACUUAUUCUGUUAUAUAGGUUGAGGUUGCGUUGAGGGAUCUCAUCUUGUCGGAUUAUGCCAAGAAGAACAAUGUGAACACUUCAGCACUUACACAGUCAGAGAUCCGUGAUAUAAUCCUUGGAGCUGAAAUUACUCCCCCUUCUCAGCAGCGACAACAAAUUGCAGAGAUAGAAAAGCAGGUGACAUUUGUGUUUGUUUGUGAUUAGUGUUUAGGUUGUGUCCUAUCUAGUUAUUUGUAGUUGCGUGAUUCGUAAUCAGCUGCAUGCUAUUGUGGAAUUUAAUGCAAUAUGUUGUUUUAGGCUAAGGAAGCAAGUCAACUGACAGCAGUCACCACAAGAACCACAAAUGUACAUGGGGAUGAACUGAUUGUUACAACUACAAGCCCAUAUGAGCAAGCUGCAUUUGGGUCUAAAACUGACUGGCGUGUUAGAGCAAUUUCGGCGACAAAUCUUUAUCUUCGAGUGAAUCACAUAUAUGUUAAUUCUGAGGAUAUAAAGGUAAUUAUGUGCUUCCCACUCCAAGGGUAUAAAUCAUAGAAGUAGCAGUUUUUUUCCCUUUUUUUAAUAACUAGGAUCAAUUUUGAUGAUGCAUUUGUGAUGCUGCCUUUGCAGGAAACUGGCUACACUUACAUUAUGCCCAAAAACAUCUUGAAGAAGUUCAUCUGCAUUGCCGACUUGCGGACUCAAAUUGCAGGUUAUUUGUAUGGCAUUAGCCCUCCUGACAAUCCUCAGGUAAAGGAAAUUCGUUGCAUUGCCAUGCCACCACAAUGGGGAACUCAUCAGCAAGUGCAUCUGCCGUCAGCUCUUCCAGAGCAUGACUUCCUUAAUGAUUUGGAGCCUUUGGGAUGGAUGCAUACCCAGCCAAAUGAACUUCCUCAAUUGUCACCUCAGGUUGGAUUUAGUUCUGUUUUUACAUUUGUUUAGUGAGCAAGUCCUUGUGAUGCUCUGUGUCUUUAUAUCAUGCAUCGUUUUGUUGUCUAUAAUUUUUAUUUGGCUAUUUCAGGAUCUAACAAAUCAUGCUCGAAUUUUGGAGAACAACAAGCAAUGGGAUGGAGAGAAGUGCAUUAUUCUAACUUGUAGUUUUACACCUGGGUCGUGCUCAUUAACUGCAUAUAAGCUGACGCCAUCUGGCUAUGAGUGGGGACGCGCCAACAAGGAUACAGGAAGUAAUCCUCAUGGUUACUUGCCAACACACUAUGAGAAGGUCCAGAUGCUCCUAAGCGAUCGUUUCUUUGGUUUUUACAUGGUAAGAACGUGCUUGAUAUUUCUGGUGAUACAUAAUUCUUCUAUAAUGAUUUUCUUUGAUAUAAUUCCAUAUUUCAUGGUACUUGUUAUUGUAUCUAAUGCAAUCUUUCUGCAUCCUAAUUUUCCAGAUUCCAGAUAACGGACCAUGGAAUUACAACUUCAUGGGCGUAAAGCAUACUGUAAGCAUGAAGUAUGGAGUCAAACUGGGAACGCCUAGGGAAUACUAUCAUGAGGAUCAUCGGCCAACUCAUUUCUUGGAGUUUAGCAAUUUGGAGGAGGGUGAGACUGCAGAGGGGGACCGCGAGGAUACAUUUACUUAAAUCUUGUUUUUGUUUUGCAUCUAAUGCUUCUAGAGCAUCUCUCCUCCAGACAGACCAUUUAAACCUUGGGAUGUGUGAAGAUCAAAAUUUCUUCCAUGACUUUUUUUGUGCCUCUUAUGCUGACACGCAUCUGUUGUAGCUGCCUUUGAAAUUGUAAAUAUGUGUGGGAAAUAUGUAAUUUUGAUCUUAGCUUCAGGGUGG
rnacentral:lncRNA from 1 species